UGUUUUUUGUUUUUGUUUCUAUUUAGUAAUAAAUUUUGCAUCUACCUUCUGUUUAGAUGUGUUUUUGUGUUUUAAUUAGUGUUUGUGCCAAGUAGAACCUAUAGGAUAACCUAUGGUGAUAGUUAAUUUGAUUCUGCUGAAAAACAGAAACUUUGCAUGCACGAAAUUAGUUUUGUUAAAUCACAGAAACGUGCUUUUUCGUUGAUUCUUUUUGAUGAUGAUCAACAGACAAAUUUCCCAGGGCUUCCUAUUUUUUUAGGUUUUUUAAAGUUCCAGAAGUUUGCUUUAGUUGCAGAUUUCUACAGACUGUUCUGUUUUUGACAGAUUCUGUUUUUCGUGUGUUGUUUGCUUAUUUUGAUGCAUCUAUGGCUAGUAUUAAGUGAUAUGAACCAUAGAGAACUUGGAAUACAGUAGGUUUAACACCAAAAUAAAUAAAGAAUGAGUUCAUUACAGUACCUUAUGUGGUGGUUUUGUUUUCUUUCACUAACGGAGCUUAUGAGAUUUCCUGUUGAGUUUUGUGUUGUGAAGUUUUCAAGUUUUGGGUAAAGAUUUGAUGGACUAUGGAACAAGGAGUGGCAAGAGCCUAGGCUUGGGGAUGCCCAUGGAACCCCAAGAUAUUCAAGAAUAGCCAAAAUCCUAAGCUUGGGGAUGCCCCCGGAAGGCAUCCCCUCUUUCGUCUUCGUUCAUUGGUAACUUUACUUGGAGCUAUAUUUUUAUUCGCCACAUGAUAUGUGUUUUGCUUAAAGCGUCGUGUAUGAUAUUAGUAUUUGCUUUUUAGUUUACCACAAUCAUCCUUGCUAUACACACCUUUUGGGAGAAGCCCACUUGAUUAGAAUUUAUUAGAAUACUCUAUGUGCUUCACUUAUAUCUUUUGAGCUUGAUAGUUUUUGCUCUAGUACUUCACUUAUAUCUUUUAGAGCACGACGGUGGCUUAAUUUUGAAGAAAUUGUUGAUCUCUCAUGCUUCACCUAUAUUAUUUUGAGAGUCUUUUAGAACACCAUGGUAUUUUCUAUGGUUACAAAUUUGGUCCUAGAAUGAUGAGCAUCCAAGUUGGGUAUAAUAAAAACUAUCAUAGAAAGUGCAUAAAACACUAGGAUCAAUUUGAUGCUUGAUAAUUGUUUUGAGAUAUAGAGGUGGUAAUGUUAGAGUCAUGCUAGUGGGUAAUUAUGAAAUUGAGAAAUACUUGUGUUGAAGUUGGCAAGUCCUGUAGCAUGAACGUAUGGUAAAAGUUGUGUGACAAAUUUGUUGCAUGAGGUGCUCUUUUGAUUGUAUUCCUUAUGAGUGGAGGUCGGGAUCGCGAUGGUUAACUCCUACCAACCCUUCCCCUAGGAGCAUGCGUAGUAGUACUUUGCUUCGAGGGCAAGUAGACUUUUGUAAUCAGUAUAUGAGUUCUUUAUGACUAAUGUGAGUCCAUGGAUAUACGCACACUCACCCUUCCACUUUGCUAGCCUCUAUUAUAUCGCACAACUUUCGCCGGUAUCAUGCACCCAUUAUUUACCUUCCUCAAAACAGCCACCAUACCUACCUAUUAUGGCAUUUCCAUAGCCAUUCCGAGAUAUAUUGCCAUGCAAAUUUCCACCAUUUCGUUUAUUAUGACACACUUCAUCAUUGUCAUAUUGCUCUUUGCAUUCUCAUGUAGUUGACAUCGUAUUUGUGGCAAAGCCACCUUCAUAAUUUUCCUACAUGUCGCUCUUGAUUCAUUGCAUAUCCCGGUACACCGCUGGAGGCAUUCAUAUAGAGUCAUAUCUUGUUCUAGUUUUGAGUUGUAAUUCUUGAGUUGUAAAUCAAUAAAAGUGUGAUGAUCUUCAUUAUUAGAGCAUUGUCCUAGUGAGGAAAGGAUGAUGAAGACUAUGAUUCCCCCACAAGUCGGGAUGAGACUUCAGACUUUAAAAACAAAAGAAAAAGAAAGGCCGAAAAAAGGCCAAAGAAAAAAAAAGAAAAAAAGGAAAAAAUGAGAAGAAAAAAAUGAGAGAAAGAGAAAAGGGACAAUGCUACUAUCCUCUUUACCACACUUGUGCUUCAAAGUAGCACCAUGAUCUUCAUAAUAGAGAAGUCUCCUAUGUUGUCAUUUUCAUAUACUAAGUGGGAAUUUUUCAUUAUAGAACUUGUCUUGUAUAUUCCAAUGAUGGGCUUCCUCAAAAUGCCCUAGGUCUUCGUGAGAAAGCAAGUUGGAUGCACACCCACUUAGUUUCUUUUGUUGGGCUUUCAUAUAUUUAUAUCUCUUGUGCAUCUGUUGCAUGGCAAUCCCUACUCACUCACAUUGACAUAUAUUGAUGGGCAUCUCCAUAGCCCGUUGAUACGCCUAGUUGAUGUGAGACUAUCUUCUCCCUUUUUGUCCUCACAACCACCACCAUAUACCACCAUAGUGCUAUGUCCAUGGCUUGCGCUCAUGUAUUGCGUAAGAGUUGAAAAACCUGAAGCGCGUUAAAAAUUAUGAACCGAUUGCUUGGCUGAAACUGGGGUUGUGCAUGAUGGGAGUAUUUUGUGCAAUGGAAAUGAAGCAUGGCCUAACUAUAUGAUUUUGUAGGGAUGAGCUUUCUUUGGCUAUGCUAUUUUGAUAGGACAUGAUUAUUUGUUACUAUGCUUCGAAGCAUUAUUAUUUUUUAUGUUUUAUAAGCUUUUAUCUUGAAUCAUUUGGAUCUAAACAAUCAUACCACAAUAAAGAAAAUUACAUUGAGAAUUAUGCUAGGUAGCAUUCCACAUCAAAAAUUCUGUUUUUAUCAUUUACCUACUCGAGGACGAGCAGGAAUUAAGCUUGGGGAUGCUUGAUACGUCUCCAAUGUAUCUAUAAUUUUUGAUUGUUCCAUGCUAUUAUAUUACCCCUUUUGCAUGUUUAUGGGCUUUAUUUUACACAUUUAUAUCAUUUUUUGGGACUAACCUACUAACCGGAGGCCCAGCCCGUAUUGCUGUUUUUUGCCUAUUUCAGUAUUUCGAAGAAAACGAAUGUACGAAAUGAAACCUUUGGGAGCGUGAUUUUUGGAACGAACGUGAUCCAAAGGACUUGGAGUGCAAGUCAAGAAGCGAUCGAGGCGGCCAGGAGAUAGGAGGGCGCGCCCACCCUCCCUGGCCGCGCCCCCCUAUCUCAUGGGCCCCUCUGGUGGCCACCGACGUACUUCUUGCUCCUAUAUAUACGCACGUACCUCGAAAACAUCCGGGGAGCCAACGAAAACCAUUUUCCAUUGCCGUAACCUUCUGUAUCCGUGAGAUCCCAUCUUGGAGCCCUCGCCGGCGCUCCGUCGGAGGAGGAAUCGACCAUGGAGGGCUUCUACAUCAACACCAUAGCCCCUCCGAUGAGUUGUGAGUAGUUUACCACAGACCUUCGGGUCCAUAGUUAUUAGCUAGAUGGCUUCUUCUCUCUUUUUUGGAUCUCAAUACCAUGUUCUCCCCCUCUCUUGAGGAGAUCUAUUCGAUGUAACUCUUUUUGCGGUGUGUUUGUCGAGAUCCGAUGAAUUGUGGGUUUGUGAUCAAGUUUAUCUAUGAGAAAUAUUUGAAUCUCUUCUGAAUUCUUUUAUGUAUGAUUGAGUUAUCUUUGCAAGUCUCUUUGAAUUAUCAGUUUGGUUUGGCCUACUAGAUUGAUCUUUCUUGCCAUGGGAGAAGUGCUUAGCUUUGGGUUCAAUCUUGCGGUGUCCUUACCCAGUGACAGCAGGGGUUGCAAGGCACGUAUUGUAUUGUUGCCAUCGAGGAUAAAAAGAUGGGGGUUAUAUUAUAUUGCUUGAGUUUAUCCCUCUACAUCAUGUCAUCUUUCUUAAUGUGUUACUCUGUUCUUAUGAACUUAAUACUCUAGAUGCAUGAUGGAUAGCGGUCGAUGUGUGGAGUAAUAGUAGUAGAUGCAGGCAGGACGGUCUACUUGUCACGGACGUGAUGCCUAUAUACACGAUCAUGCCUAGAUAAUCUCAUAAUUAUUCGCUUUUCUAUCAUUUGCUCGACAGUAAUUUGUUCACCCACCAUAAUACUUAUGCUAUCUUGAGAGAAGCCACUAGUGAAACCUAUGGCCCCCGGGUCUAUCUUUUAUCAUAUAAGCUUUCAAUCUACUUUUAUUUGCAUCUUUACUUUUCCUAUCUAUAUUAUAAAAUACCAAAAAUAUAUUUAUCUUAUCAUACUAUCUCUAUCAGAUCUCACUUUCACAAGUGGCCGUGAAGGGAUUGACAACCCCUUUAUUGCGUUGGUUGCGAGUGAUACGUCUCCGUCGUAUCUACUUUUCCAAACACUUUUGCCCUUGUUUUGGACUCUAACUUGUAUGAUUUGAAUGGAACUAACCCGGACUGACGCUGUUUUCAGCAGAACUGCCAUGGUGUUAUUUUUUAUGCAGAAAAUAAAGAUUCUCGGAAUGUCCUGAAACUCCACGGAACACCUUAGAAAAAAUAAAGAAAAAUCCUCGCAAAAGAUGAAGACCAGGGGGCCCACACCCUGCUCAUGAGGGCGGGGGCGCCCCCCUGGGCGCGCCCCCCUACCUCGUGGGCCCCCUGGUGGCCCUCCGACGCCAACUCCAACUCCAUAUAUUGCCUUUCGGGGAGAAAAAAAUAAGAGAGAAGAAAUCAUCACGUUUUACGAUACGGAGCCACCGCCAAGCCCUAAUAUCUCUCGGGAGGGCUGAUCUGGAGUCCGUUCGGGGCUCCGGAGAGGGGGAUUCGUCGCCGUCGUCAUCAUCAACCAUCCUCCAUCACCAAUUUCACGAUGCUCACCGCCAUGCGUGAGUAACUACAUCGUAGGCUUGCUGGACGGUGAUGGGUUGGAUGAGAUUUAUCAUGUAAUCGAGUUAGUUUUGUUAGGGUUUGAUCCCUAGUAUCCAUUAUGUUCUGAGAUUGAUGUUGCUAUGACUUUGCUAUGCUUAAUGCUUGUCAGUAGGGCCCGAGUGCCAUGAUUCCAGAUCUGAACCUAUUAUGUUUUCAUGAAUAUAUGUGUGUUCUAGAUCCUAUCUUGCAAGUCUAUAGUCACCUACUAUGUGUUAUGAUCCGGCAACCCCGAAGUGACAAUAAUCAGGACCACUCCCGGUGAUGACCAUAGUUUGAGGAGUUCAAGUAUUCACUAUGCGCUAAUGCUUUGUUCCAGUUCUCUAUUAAAACGAGGCCUUAAUAUCCCUUAGUUUCCAAUAGGACCCCGCUGCCACGGGAGGGUAGGACAAAAGAUGUCAUGCAAGUUCUUUUCUAUAAGCACGUAUGACUAUAUACGGAAUACAUGCCUACAUUACAUUGAUGAACUGGAGCUAGUUCUGUGUCACCCUAUGUUAUGACUGCUACGUGAUGAACCACAUCCGGCAUAAUUAUCCAUCGCUAAUCCGGUGCCUACGAGUUUUCCAUAUACUGGUUUACACUUAUUUACUUUUCCGUUGCUACUGUUACAAUCUUUACAAAAUACCAAAAACAUUAUGUUUACUGUCUUUACUUUUGUUACCGUUACCACCACUAUCAUAUUACUAGCUACUAAACACUUUGCUGCAGAUACUAAGUUUCCAGGUGUGGUUGAAUUGACAACUCAGCUGCUAGUACUUGAGAAUAUUCUUUGGCUCCCCUUGUGUCGAAUCAAUAAAUUUGGGUUGAAUACUCUACCCUCGAAAACUGUUGCGAUCCCCUAUACUUGUGGGUUAUCAAGACUAUUUUCUGGUGCCAUUCCCGGGGAGCAUAUCUCUAUUCUUUGAGUCACUUGGGAUUUAUACCUGCUGGACACUAUCAAGAACUUGAAAGAUGAUCGAACUACUAUUUUGCCCUCAACUACGAGGGGAGGUAAGGGAUUGCCAUCUAGCCUUGCACUAGAUUCUCCUUCUGUUAUGAGUAAGUCUGCGACACCUAAACCUACUACUGCUAUUGAUUCUGAUAUGUCGCAUGUUAUUGAUGAUACCACUUUUGCUAUGCAUGAUACUUAUGAUGAAACUACUUCUAUGCUUGAUACUACUGUGCCACUUGGUGAAUAUCUUGAUGAGCAAAUUACUAGGUCUAGAGAAAGAGAAAUUAUUGAACCUGAACACGAUGAUAUUAGUGAUGAUGAACCUAUGCCUGCUAUUCCUAAGGGUUAUCUUUUUGAUGUUGAAUCUUCUGAAGCUAUUCUUGCUUGCCAGGAUGAACGUGAACGUAAGAGGUUGCUAGUUAAAUUGAGUAAAGAAUCUUUUAGAGGUAGAAUGAAACCCGACCCUGCUUUUGCUACUUCACCUAUCUGUGUUCCUGAUCAGGACUAUUAUGAUUUUUCUGUUGAUCCAGAUAUAAUUACUUUGGUUGAAUCUGAUCCUUUUUAUGGCUAUGAAUCUGAAACUAUUGUGGCACAUCUUACUAAGUUAAAUGAUAUAGCUACACUAUUUACUAAUAAUGAGAGAUCGCGCUACCUUUAUUUACUCAAGAUAUUUCCAUUCUCAUUAAAGGGUGAUGCUAAGAUAUGGUAUAAUUCUCUUGAUCCUGGCCCAGGAUAUGAUUGAUUACUUCUCUGCUAAAUAUUUCCCUGCUCAUAAGAAACAAGCUGCUUUGAGGGAAAUAUACAAUUUUGUGCAAAUUGAAGAAGAGAGUCUCCCACAAGCUUGGGGGAGGCUUCUCAAGUUACUUAAUGCUUUGCAUGAUCAACCUCUUAAGAAACCUGAAAUAUUUGAUAUCUUUUAUAAUGGACUAACUGAUGCUUCCAGAGAUUACCUGGAUAGUUGUGCUGGUUCUCUUUUCAGGGACAGAACACCGGAUGACGCUGAAAUUCUAUUGAAUAAUAUGUUGGCUAAUGAAAAUAAUUGGGCACCUCCCGAGCUACCUCCUGAGCCAGUUCCUGAGCCAAUUACUGAGCCUAUUCCUAAACCAACUCCGAAGAAGAGAGGUGUUCUAUUUCUCAGCCCCGAAGAUAUGCAAGAGGCAAAGAAAUUUAUGAAAGAAAAAGGUAUUAAAGCUGAAGAUGCUAAGAAUUUACCUCCUAUUGAAGAAAUACAUGGUCUUAAUUUACCUCCUGUUGAAGAAGUAUAUGGUCUCAAUUACUUAUUUAAUGAAGAACCUCCCGAUAGCCCUACACAGUUAGUAAAGGUAAAUUCUCUCGAUAGAUAUGAUAAAGCUGAAGUUCCUCCUACUAAAAUUGCUAGUCAGUGCUUGGAUGAGUUUGAUGACUUUAUGUUUAAGCAAGAUGAUUUUAAUGCUUAUUUGGUAGACAAUUAAAACAGAAUACCUUUAUGAUUAAAUGCUUGGGUGAUUAUAUGACUGAUAUUAGAGGUGAACUUAAACUUGUUAGCAAACAUGCUUCUAUGGUUACUACUCAAGUAGAACAAGUACUUAAAGCUCAGAAAGAAGUGCUUGAUGAAAUGAAUAGUAAGAAAAAUGAUUAUGUUGUUAGAGUUGCUACUAGAACUGGUAGAAUGACUCAGGAACCUUUGUACCCUGAAGGCCACCCUAAGAGAAUCGAGCAAGAUUCUCAGAGAAACAAUAUUGAUAUACCUAGUUCUUCUAAGACGAAGAAAAAGAAAAAUGAUAGGACUUUGCAAACUUCUAGUAAACCUAUCGCUGAACCACCUGCGAAUCCAAAUGAUGUCUCUGUUUCUGAUGCUGAAACACAAUCAGGUGAUGAACAUGAACCUAGUGAUAAUGUUAAUGAUAAUGUUCAUGUUGAUGCUCAACCUAGUAAUGAUAAUGAUGUAGAAGUUGAACCUGUUGUUGAUCUUGAUAACCCACAAUCAAAGAAUCAACGUUAUGAUAAAAGAGAUUUUGUUGCUAGGAAACAUGGUAAAGAAAGGGAACCAUGGGUUCAAAAACCCAUGCCUUUUCCUCCGAAACCAUCCAAGAAAAAGGAUGAUGAGGAUUUUGAGCGCUUUGCUGAAAUGAUUAGACCCAUCUGUUUGCGUAUGCGAUUAACUGAUGUGCUCAAAACAAAUCCUUAUGCUAAGUAUAUGAAGGAUAUUAUAACUAAUAAAAGAAAGAUACCUGAAGCUAAAAUUUCCACCAUGCUUGCUAAUUACACUUUUAAGGGUGGAAUACCAAAGAAACUUGGAGAUCCCGGAGUGCCUACUAUACCAUGCUCGAUUAAAAUAAGUUAUGUUAAAACUGCUUUAUGUGAUCUUGGAGCCGGUGUUAGUGUUAUGCCUCUCUCUUUAUAUCGUAGACUUGACUUGAAUAAGUUGACACCUACUGAAAUAUCUUUGCAAAUGGCUGAUAAAUCAACUGCUAUACCUAUCGGUAUUUGUGAGGAUGUGCCUGUUGUGGUUGCAAACUGUCGGUGUCAAAACAGGCGGAUCUCGGGUAGGGGGUCCCGAACUGUGCGUCUAGGCGGAUGGUAAUAGGAGACGAGGGACACGAUGUUUUACCCAGGUUCGGGCCCUCUUGAUGGAGGUAAAACCCUACGUCCUGCUUGAUUAAUAUUGAUGAUAUGGGUAGUACAAGAGUGGAUCAACCAUGAGAUCAAGGAGGCUAAACCCUAGAGGCUAGCCUAUGGUAUGAUUGUUGUAAUGGAGGUUAUGUCCUACGGACUAAAGCCCUCCGGUUUAUAUAGACACCGGAGAGGGCUAGGGUCACACAGAGUCGGUUACAAUGGUAGGAAAUCUACAUAUCCGUAUCGCCAAGCUUGCCUUCCACGCUAAGGAAAGUCCCAUCAGGACACUGGACGGAGUCUUCAAUCUUGUAUCUUCGUAGUCUUGGAGUCCGGCGGACGAUGAUAGUCCGGCUGUUCGGACACCCCCUAGUCCAGAACUCCCUCAGUAGCCCUUGAACCUGGCUUCAAUGACGAUGAGUCCGGCGCGCAUAAUGUUCGGCAUUGCAAGGCGGGUUCCUCCCUUAAAUAAUCCGGAGAAGAUCAUGAACACCAGGAUAGUGUCCGGCUCUGCAAAAUAAGUUCCACAUUCCACCGUAGAGAGAAUAAUAUUUACACAAGUUCAAUCUGCUGACGUAUUUCGUGGCAUGACGUCACACCACGGCCAAGCCUUUAUUCAAAUCGUUUUUAUUGUUCCACCUCAGCGCGUUUAGCGAAGCGGUUCCUUGGCACGUCUUGUCAAAGCAGAGAUCGUGUCCCCUUAUUCUGGGAUUCUCAUCAAUACGGACGUGGGUAACCCAACCGCGCCAUUGAUGGUGGCGCUUGGGAGAUAAGCGAGUUUUACCAGGCUGGUGGGGGACGCAUAGUUUCGUCCGCCUAUAUAUAAGGGAUAAGGAUUCACCCUUUCACCUACGCCUUCUUCCUCCUUUGCUUAUCCAUCUCUGCGCACUCGAGCUCCAACGCCCAAGUUUGCACAUCUCGUCUAGACCUUCUCCGACCAUGUCCGGAGCGGGAGGCAAAUGGCUGGCCUCCAUCGUUAAGGAGGAGCACAUCACGAGGCUACGCAGCGCCGGGUACCUUUCCAGCGAUGUUGCACAUUGGCUGCCCGACGAGGGGCAACUCAUCCCCACCCCUGGGCCCCAUGAGAGGGUCGUUUUCCUUCCCCACUUCCUCCGCGGACUGGGCUUUCCACUUCACCCCUUUGUCCGGGGGAUCAUGUUCUACUACGGCCUGGAUUUCCAUGAUCUGGCGCCUAACUUCAUACUCAACAUCUCGGCGUUUAUCGUCGUAUGCGAGGCCUUCCUCUGCAUUCAGCCCCACUUCGUCUUAUGGCUCAAGACCUUCAAUGUCAAGCCGAAGGUGGUGAAGGGCACUCAAGCGGAGUGCGGAGGCGCCAUGUUGGGCAAGAUGCCCAACACCCUUUGGUUCGAAGGGGCCUUCGUGGAAUCCGUCAAGGGGUGGCAGUCGGGGUGGUUCUAUUUCACUGAGCCGCGCGACCCUACAUGGGCGGCGGCCCCCGAGUUUAGAUCUGGUAUCCCUACGCAGCUCACCUCCUGGAAAGAGAAGGGCUUGCGGUGGGGUAAUUCGAAGGAGCUGACGGAACUUCAAGCCUGUAUCCAGAAGCUGGUGAACAAGAAGCAAAGGCUGGUUAACAUGGUCCAGGUCAUGCUCGUCCGCCGGAUUCUCCCAUGCCAAGAACGGGCAUUCAAUCUGUGGGAGUUCGAUCCGGAACAGCACCAGGCGCUAAGCGGGCUCUUCGACACAACGUACGAAGGCGCCUGGAGGGUGCUGUUUAAGGGCGCCGAAGCUCCCGCAUCUGCGACGGAAGAUCGUGGAUUCCACUCGCGGCGUCCAGCCGACGAGGUAAGUGAUUCUACCCCUUUACGGGACACUUGUUGUUAAUAAUUCGACCCUAAGCGGGUUUUAAUCUCCCUUCUCCUUUGACAGGAGUGGAUGAAGAAGGCCGAGCAGCUCAUCUGCCCGGCUCCCAUGCCAGAAGACCCAGUGGACGCCCGUCUAGCGGGGUUGCUGGUUCCGGCACCGCACGUGGUGCCGGAGAAGAAGGCCAAGAAGGUGGCCACGGGAACUCGAAAGAGUUCCCGCUUUCAGGUGUCCGACGACUCCGAGGCGGACUCCUCCCCCGAAGAUGAGGAGGAGGAAGAAGACUCUCUCCCAGAGGAGGGAGAGAGGAAGAGGAAGGCUUCCCCAAUAGGGGAGGCCGAAGGGUCCAAGAGGGGAAGAACUAUUCCCCCGGACAGCUCCGCUAACACCAACGUUGGCGGUGAAGAGUGGCCCUCAAGGCCCAGGCCUCAGGCGAGAUCGUAAGUAUCCGGAUCCCUGAAUGAUCUGCAAUUUCUUUUGUGUCACAUAGUGUCCUUCUAAUGCCGCAUAAUGCCUACAAUCCGGCUGAUGAUGAUCUCCCCGCUUCAUCGAGCGGGUUGUUGGCUCCAUCGAAUGUGGAUUCCAUCCCGACUGCCUGCACCCCUCGCGCCGAUGAGGACACCGAGGUGGGAUCCCAGAAAGGGACCCAUCAGGAGGAGGCUCCGGAGGCGCCGCAAGGCAGCCUCCCGGACUUUGCGCCGGACUCUACGCCGGAACCUGCAGUGGUUCCAAAGUCCGGCAGGCGGCCCCUUCGCAAGAAGGGCAAGACCGUGACGCCGGCGGCCCCCGUCCAACCGGAGGCACCGGACAACUUGUUGGAGGCGCUCAAAGGCGCUUCCAUCGAGGAAGAACACCGCACUAUCAUGAGUGCGGUGAUUCAGAAGGUUCAGCUCGCCAAGAGCGGGCUGACCGAAGCCUGCAGCAGCCUUCUAACAGGCUUUGAGGUAAGAAGUUAAAUUAUGUAAUGUAAUACCGCAUAGACAGUAGCCCCUGAUGCUUAGUUCGGCGUUCGGAAAGAAAAGCCGGACUGAGGAUCUAGAAUGAUAUACGCAGGGUUGCUAAAAAAUAUGUCGAUAUGGGUUUGCAGGCUGCGCUGCUGACCUCUGCCGCACUGACUGCGAAGGUCGGUGCAUUGAAGCAGGAUCUCGAGCGGUCCGAGCAAGAUCUCGGCCGUGCCAAGAAGCAACUCGAGGACAAAGAAGGUGAGUAACACCACUUUAAAAUUUUACCUUACAGAAAAGGAUUUAGGUUGCAGUAGAAAUAACAAGGAUAACAUGGGUACUGCAGGGGCCACUAAUGAGGCGGCAACCCUGAAGGAGGCUGUGUCCGCGGCCGAACGCAAUGCGGCCGCGGAACGGGCCGAGCGAGAGAAGCAGGAGGCGCGGGUGGCGGAAGUGCGUCAAGAGCUCCAGGCUCUCAUGGAGAAGCAUGAGAGUUUGGAGCGCGACUCCAAGACUCGAGAGUCUGAGCUCGCCUCGGCUCUCAAAAGUGCCAUGUCCGCCAAGGCCGAGGCCCGUAAGGCCCUUCAGGAGGUUGAAGAUGUGAAGAAGAUAGCGGCGGGUAAGGCAUUUCUCAUGCAAAGCAAGCAUGUUAAUGUAAACUACCUGACACUUACCCGCAUUCGGAGCUCUCCAGGGGCGUUUGCAGAUCUGCCGCGCAGUGUAUCCGAUGCCGCCGCAUUCUACCGUGGCCAGGAGGGGAGCUCAACAGAGAAGGUCUUCUGGUCUCAGUAUGUUGAGGCCGGCCAUCCGGUGCCCCCUAGCGACCAGCUGAAGCAGUUGGUCGAGCUCCACAAGGCGGCUGAGGAGGCCAUGAAGGGCCUCAUAGUCCGGCUGUGGCCUGGACAGGCCAUGCCUGGGGGCUACUUCGGCCUCGUGCGGCGGCUGGUGGAUGCAUGCCCCUGGGUGGAGGUUAUCAAGCGCUCCGCCUAUAUUGAAGGUGCUCGUCGGGCCCUUGCCCGCACAAAGGUGCACUGGGCCAGGCUGGAUGCGGAGAGGCUUCUUACAGACCCGCCGCCAGCGGGCAAGGAGUAUCGUACGCCCGAAAUGUAUUAUAAGACUGUCCUGAAGGGUGCCCGCAAUAUUGCGGAUGAGUGCCCCAGAGAUGUAAUUUUUGAGUAAAACUCGCUAUGUAUUAUCCUGUGCGCUGAAAACUUUUGUUCAUAUGCGCUAAGCAACACUUGUUUAAUUUAAAAUAUUACCUUCUGUGCGGCCGUUUAUAAAAUCUGAGAGAUGGCAAGUCGUUGGCUUCAGCCCCCGAGCCACAAGUGCUGGGGUGUUCGGGAUAACUUGAGCACUCUUGUUCCCAUUUUUGGGUCCACCUAGGGAGGCGCUCAACACAACGAACAAGGCAACCAGACUUAUAAUGCUUGAACACUCUCACUUAGCCAUAGAAUUCUAUAAUUUUAAAUUUCGGCGAAGCCCCUAGUAUUCGGAAGACCGAAUUCGGGGCGCUAUCCACGCCUUCGUCGGACAUUAUCCGGUACUUCGCUCGAAGCGGCAUGAGUCUUUAGGGACCCGAAAAGACCUCUCGAACAGCGACCGGUCUCUCGCCUUAUCAUGCCAGUCAGUUUUAGCUUUCUCCACUGAGGCGCUCGCCCGGCUCAACCGGGGCGCAAUCGCAGUGGUUCUCCCAGUGCCACCUUAGCCGACAGAACGGAACGUAAGGCACCAAAACGUGGGAGCCGGGCAAACCCAACUAUUGACCCAAGACAUGAUUCGGAGCCGAUUCAUAUAAUGCUAUAAGUUCGGGGUGCCGCACUUGUGAAAGUGUUCGGACUUAUCACACCAUAAUGCGGGGAAUAUAAGCCCCUGGUGUAUUCGGCCGUACCAAAAUAUACGGGUGCGAGAUGUCAUCAAUGAACAUAUGUGUAAAGUAAUGCAAUAACAGGCAAAAAAUGUUGCAUUAUUUAUUCAAGAAAUUCUGUUAUAAGUGCGGAAGGAUACAAAUAGUGCGGUAAGCAAGGGAUUGGAAUAAAUAAGCAUGUCCCCCUCCAGGAGUGGGCUGCGUACUGGUGUAUAUAAUCGAAGUUAAUGCUCGUAAUGGAGACCACCUGAGUGUUAACCGCAACCUUCUUUCUUCCCUGGCCAUUGCAUCAUGAGUUCGGCGGGUCCACCGCCGGACAGGGCUUCUGGUAAAUGAAGUCCUGUAAAAAAGAAAAAAGAAAAAGAGCGACACACUUGAGAGCCCCUGGUGUGGUCGAGCCGCACUCUGGGUCUGUUGCGGUCGUGCCCCUCCCCUUAAGCCCAUGGUAUCUCCAAAGCGUAAUGAUGUACGCGGAGGGUUAGUCUUGCAAUCAUGCGAGGGCUGGGGUUGGGGCCGCAUUGCUACGCGUGCUCGGAAUGCGCCAGGUGGUCUUGGUUGAUGUUGCUCCGGGCGCGUUUGGCCGUGUCCGGCCGUUUAACGGCCGGACUCGAAAAUUGCCUUAGAAGGCUGAUCUGUACUUCUGCCGCGAGAGCCGCUGUAUGUUCCUCCGUUCGGAGGGAGCGUUCCGUAUUUCCGUUGACCGUGAUCACUCCACGAGGGCCUGGCAUCUUGAGCUUGAGGUAUGCGUAAUGCGUAACCGCGUUGAACGUUGCAAACGCGGUUCGUCCGAGCAGGGCGUGAUAGCCACUGUGGAAUGGGACUAUGUCGAAGAUUAAGUCCUCGCUUCGGAAAUUGUCCGGGGAUCCGAAGACCACUUCCAGUGUGACUGAGCCUGUACAAUUGGCCUCAACACCUGGUAUGACGCCUUUGAAGGUCGUCUUUGUAGGUUUAAUCCUUGAGGGGUCUAUGCCCAUCUUGUGCACUGUAUCCUGAUAAAGCAGGUUCAGGCUACUGCCGCCGUCCAUCAGGACUCUUGUGAGGUGAAAUCCAUCGACGAUUGGGUCUAAAACCAAUGCGGCGAAUCAGCCAUGGCGGAUACUGGUCGGAUGGUCUCUUCGAUCGAAAUUGAUCGGGCAAGAGGACCAUGGAUUGAACUUCGGGGCGACUGGCUCCAUCGCAUAUACGUCCCUUAGUGCACGCUUCCGCUCCCUCUUGGGUAUGUGGGUUGCGUAUAUCAUAUUAACCAUCCGCACUUGUCGGGGGAAACCCUUCUGUCCUCUAUUGUUCGGUGGUCGGGUCUCUUCCUCAUCAUCGCUGUGCAGUCCCUUGUCAUUGUUUUCGGCAAUUAAUUUGACUGCCUGCUUGAAUACCCAAUAAUCUCUGUUGGUGUGAUUGGCUGGCUUUUCGGGGGUGCCAUGUAUCUGGCAUAAGCGGUCGAGUAUUCGGUCCAAAUUGGACGGACCCGGAGUGGUUCUUUUGAAUGGCUUCUUCCGCUGACCGGGUUUAGAGCCUCGGAAUCCGGUGUUGACUGCCGUAUCCUCCUUGUCGUCGCCGUUAAUGCAGCGUUUAUUUUUGCUUCGACGCGACCUGCCAUUGUGGUCCUUGGUAUCCGGUCUGCCAGAAUUUUUACUGAGGUUGUUGCUGCGAGCUAGCCAGCUGUCCUCUCCCGCACAAAAGCGGGUCAUUAAGGAUGUGAGGGCUGCCAUGGAUUUUGGCUUUUCCUGUCCUAGGUGCCGGGCUAGCCACUCGUCGCAGAUGUUAUGUUUGAAGGCUGCGAGGGCCUCUGCAUCCGGACAGUCGACAAUUUGAUUUUUCUUUGUUAGGAACCGUGUCCAGAACUGUCUGGCCGAUUCGUCUGGCUACUGAAUUAUGUGGCUUAGGUCAUAGGCGUCUGGUGGUCGCACAUAUGUGCCCUGGAAGUUGUCAAGGAAUGCGGCUUCCAGGUCUUCCCAACACCCAAUUGACUCUGCGGGCAAGCUGUUGAGCCAAUGCCGAGUUGGUCCUUUAAGCUUGAGUGGGAGAUAUUUGAUGGCAUGGAGAUCAUCGCCGCGGGCCAUAUGGAUGUGAAGGAGGUAAUCUUUGAUCCAAACCGCGGGGUCUGUUGUGCCAUCGUAGGAUUCAAUGUUUACGGGUUUAAACCCUUCAGGGAUUUGAUGAUCCAUUACUUCGUCAGUGAAGCAUAGCGGGUGUGCGGCGCCUCUAUAUUGAGCAAUAUCACGACGUAGCUUGAGUGAGCAUUGUCUGCUGUGUUCAGCCUGGCCGGAGUUAUUGUAUCCGGCGCGAUGGUAUUCGUCGUGGGUCGUGGGGUGCCCACGUGAUCCAUAGAUGGAUCUGGAUUGCCUUGCUUUGUCCUCCAAUAUAUCUCGCAAGUCCGGCGUGUUCCCUCUUGGCCUCAUACUUUUGGAGCGAUGCGGGGGUACGGUCUUGGUGGAGGGCCUAGAUGCCUCUCUGUCGCGACCACGGGGUGGUCGGUCGGCCGUAUUGUGCGCUGGUGAUGAAGGUAUGUAUGCUUCCUCCUCUAAUCGGGGGAGCAACUUGCGUUUUGGGUAGCUUUUGGAGGGGCGUUCAAGUUCGUACUCUUCGGCCGCGAGGACCUCGGUCCAUCGAUCGGCCAGCAGGUCUUGAUCAGCUUGAAGCUGCUGCUGCUUUUUCUUUAGGCUAUUUGCCGUGGCGAUAAGCCUGCGUUUAAAACGCUCUUGUUCGACGGGAUCCUCGGGCACGACGAAUUCGUCGUCGUUGAGGCUUGCCUCGUCUUCGGAGGGAGGUAUGUAAUUAUCAUCCUCAACCUCUUCAUCUGCCGCUUUCUCGUGAGGGCUUGCUUCUACCUCCUCCUGCGCUGAAUCUUGCUGGAGGGGAUUGUCUUCGGCACUUUCUGGGGUAUUAUUAUCUCCUGUGACUGAAUCUCCAUUCUUGCUGUGCCGGGAUUUAGAGCGGCGUCGCUGACGUCGGCGCUUGGGCUGUUUCUUUAAGGAAUCUGCCUCCGCUGCUUCUUCGUCGUCCCCCUCUUUUGGGGUGUCCACCAUGUAUAUGUAAUAUGACGAGGUGGUCUUCCAGUGCCCUUUAGGCGCUGGUUCUUGUUCGUCUCCGGCAUCGUCGUCCAUACCGUCGAUGUCUUCGGAGUCGUAGUCUAGCAUGUCUGUUAGAUCGUCGACAGUGGCUACAAAGUGGGUGGUGGGUGGGCUUUGAAUUUCUUCAUCGUCCGUAUCCCAACCGUCCUGGCUAUAGUCCGGCCAGGUCUCUCCGGAUAGCGAGAGAUGUUUUAGCGAAUUUAAGAUGUCGCCAAAGGGCGAGUGUUGGAAGAAGUCCGCGGCGGUGAAUUCCAUGACCGGCGCCCAAUCGGAUUCGAUUGGCAGGGGCGCGGAAGGUUCGGAGUCCGGCAGGGAGUCCGGCACCUCGGAAUCACGAGCUUCGCAAGGGACAAGGUCAAUGUUCGGCUCCAUCACCGUGGAAGUUGCAGCCCCCGAGGCGGUGUCCAACCACCGGUCCUCGAUUUGGGCGAUCGGCUCCGGACUGAAGGUCAGAGCGGAUUCGUGUGCGGCCACCAAGGCACUGUCCGGCGGUAGAGCUAGAUCAUGCCCAUCGUGAUAGUGCGGCACGCUCAGCUGUGGCUCGAGUCCGUCGAAGAUCAAGUCCCCGCGGAUGUCGGCCGUGAAGUUUAGGCUUCCGAACCUGACCUGACGGCCAGGGGCGUAGCUUUCGAUCUGCUCCAGAUGGCCAAGUGAAUUAGCCCGCAGCGCGAAGCUGCCGAAUACGAAGAUCUGUCCGGGGAGAAAGGUCUCACCCUGGAAAGCAUUGUUGAUUGAAGAAGCCAUCGGGCCUAUCGGUGACGACACAGAGGAACUCUCAAUGAAAGCAACAAUGUCGGUGUCAAAACCGGCGGAUCUCGGGUAGGGGGUCCCGAACUGUGCGUCUAGGCGGAUGGUAACAGGAGACGAGGGACACGAUGUUUUACCCAGGUUCGGGCCCUCUUGAUGGAGGUAAAACCCUACGUCCUGCUUGAUUAAUAUUGAUGAUAUGGGUAGUACAAGAGUGUAUCUACCACGAGAUCAAGGAGGCUAAACCCUAGAGGCUAGCCUAUGGUAUGAUUGUUGUAAUGGAGGUUAUGUCCUACGGACUAAAGCCCUCCGGUUUAUAUAGACACCGGAGAGGGCUAGGGUUACACAGAGUCGGUUACAAUGGUAGGAAAUCUACAUAACCGUAUCGCCAAGCUUGCCUUCCACGGCAAGGAAAGACCCAUCCGGACACAGGACGGAGUCUUCAAUCUUGUAUCUUCGUAGUCUUGGAGUCCGGCAGACGAUGAUAGUCCGGCUGUCCGGACACCCCCUAGUCCAGGACUCCCUCACAAAUGUUACUGUUUUAACGGACUUUGUUAUUCUUGAUAUUCCUGAGGAUGAUAGUAUGUCUAUUAUUCUUGGAAGACCUUUCCUUAAUACUGCAGGGGCCGUUAUUGAUUGCACCAAAGGCAAUGUCACUUUUCAUGUUAAUGGCAAUGAACACACGGUGCAUUUUCCGAGGAAACAACCUCAAGUUUAUAGUAUCAACUCUAUUGGAAAAAUUCCAUCGAUUAUAUUUGGAGGUUUCGAAUUUCCUCUCCCUACUGUCAAGAAAAAGUAUGAUAUUCUUAUUGUUGGGGAUUUUCAUAUCCCCGUUGAGGUAACUUAGUGUCAUUCAAAAUUUCUCCGGUUCCGGGAUUAUUCGGAAUGAGUUUGUUAACAAGACUUGAUCAACCUUGUUAGUGGGUUCAUUUUGAUGAUCACGAGAUGGAUGAAACUAGAAGCACAACCUUCUGUACCCUCUUUAUAUUUUCUGUUAUUUAGUAGAAGUAAAGAAAAUAAUAUUUUUCUGUCUGUCUCCUGACUUAUCCGUGCAAUAUAAAAAUAUCCCAAAAAUAAAAGUCCUCAGAAUGCCAUGCCAAUUUAAUAUGAUUUUUUCGGGAAUAUUUGAGAAUUUACUGUGCAAAAAUUACCACAGGGGGAGCUGCCACCUGCCCACGAGGGUGGAGGGCACGCCCUACCCUCCUGGGCGCGCCCCCUGCCUCGUCGGCCCAUGGUGGCCCUCCUCCACUUAUUCAUGCACCCAUCUUCUUCCUCUACUUCACACAAACACGAAAAACAACUCAAGCAUGAGUUCCAGCCCCCGUUACUGUGAUUUUCGAUCUCCUUGCUCAAAGCACCUCUUGCAAAACUGCUUGGGGAGAUUGUUCCUUGGUAUGUGACUCCUCCAUUGGUCCAAUUAGUUUUUGCUCUAGUGUUUUAUUCUUUGCAAAUUUGUGCUGCAUAGGCGACCAUGUUCUUGAGCUUGCAUGUCAAAUUUAUAUGGUUCCAAGUAGUUCCAAUGCUUUAUAUAGGCCCUAGGCACUUGUGGGAGUUGUUACUAUCAAUUUUAUUGAAGUUGGUUCACCUUUAUUUGAAGUUACUAAAAAUUUCAGAAUUUUUUUAGAGGAAACAAUAUGCUUAGGAGGAUGUUCCAAGGUGGUCCUUCAAGGAAGCAUGGUCCUAGGCUUGCAAUACGUGAUGCUGACGAGGAACCACCAAGAGACGCUCCUGUGAGGCCAUGUGAAUGGCCAUCGGAAAAUUUUAUGAAUCAAGUGGGAACGAAAGAAGAAUUUAGCGCAUAUUUGAGUAACGCCGGUCUUGAGGACUUUGAAGCUGACAAAUGCCCCCAGUAUCAUGAUCUCACAAGUUCAUUUGUGAGGAGGUUUGAGUUUACAACUUCGCGAAAUUCUCCUUCAGUCAUGUUUGACCUUUAUGACAAAUCUUAUACCAUGGACUUAGAGGACUUUACUUCUGCUUGCAAACUUCCAUCUUGGGGUAAUGUCAGGGAUCCCCCUAAAUCUGAAUAUAGAGACUUUCUUGCAAGAAUAACUGUGGGGGAAUCGAGAGAUAUAACGCAAGCUACUAUAGGGAGCAUUCACUUUCCUGCUAUACAUUAUUUUGCUCUCUUCAUAGGUAGAUGUAUUAAUGCUAAGGAUGAAGCAUGUCACAUGUGUGUCCCUGACCUCAGUAUUCUCAAGAGUGCUGUGUUAGGAGACCAAUCUUAUCAUUUGGGAGCCAUUGUAGCUCGCAGGUUGCGUCAGAAUAGACAUAGCGGAGAUUUCUUUGGAGGAAUUUACGCAACCCGCUUAGCUAAUUUUCUUGAGGUAGACAUUCGUGAGGGUGACAUGGAGUUACCCCCUUCUUAUUUAGAUUUUGAUUCUAUGGUUUCCCACCAGUUUGUUGAGAGGACUGAACCACCUCUCCAGUAUCGACUAAUCUUUGACAGACGUCGUGUAGUCCAUAUUGCUCUUCCUACUCCUGCUUUCUUUGAUUCACAGGCAAAAAGAAGAUAUAUUAUUACCAGAGAGGAGGCAGAUGAGUAUGAAAGGAGAGUGGAGGCUGCUCGGCUCCACGCUACAGCUCAGGCGGAGAUAGCCGUUGCGUCACGGUACGACCCCAGCUUCACCUACGGGUAUCCGCGAGGCCAUCCCUGGCAAUAGACCAACUUAGGCCAAAAGCCUAAGCUUGGGGGAGUACGUAUUUCCUACCGGCAUACAUUCAUGUUCACACACACUUAUUGCUAGAUGUCGGUGCUCAUACGCUUUCACUGUAUUACCCAUGUUAGUUUAAAUUUCUUUUUCCUGCUUUCUUCUUGUGUGUUUGAUAAACUUUAAGAAAAACAAAAAAAUAGUUAGUUUACUUUCCAUGCUUGUAGUAGAAUUAAAAAGAAAACCCAAAAAUAUUUCCCGUUCUUCUUUUUACUUGUUGGGAGCUUUCCCGUGUAAAUAGUUUUUAUUUCUUUUUCUUUCUUUGGGGGUCGAGAAGACUAUAUUGAAAAUGCUUAGUGGCUCUUAUAUGCAUGAUUGUUUAUUUAAACUUAGAGCCCAUAUUACUUGCCUUCUCUCUUGAGUUGAAUGCUUGCAGAUUCCAGCUUAGUCCAAUGCACGUGCACUCUUAUUAUUAUCCACAUCGUUCGGCCGUGCAAGUGAAAGGCAAUAAUGACGAUAUAUGAUGAACUUAUUGGGAAAAGAAAAGCUGGUAUGAACUCGACCUCUCUUGUUUUUGUAAACAUGAUGAUCCAUCAUUCUUGAUUCAGCUAUUAUGAAGUAAACAUAUUUGCAAUGACAUUUAGAGAUUAUAGUUGCUUGUGCCAUGCUUGAUUAGCUAUGAGUUAUAAUGGUUUACCUUGCGUGCCAACAUGCUAUUAGAAUGAUUAUGAUGUGGUAUGAUGGGAUGGUAUCCUCCUUUAAAUGAAUUGAGUGACUCGACUUGGCACAUGUUCAUGCAUGUAGUUGAAUCCAAUCAACAUAGCCUUCAUGAUAUUUAUGUUCAUGGUGGAUUAUAUCCUACUCAUGCUUGUAUUCGGUGUGAAUUAAUUUUAAUGCAUGUUUACGACUGUUGUCGCUCUCUCAGUUGGUCGCUUCCCAGUCUUUUGCUAGCCUUCACCUGUACUAAGCGGGAAUACUGCUUGUGCAUCCAAACUCCUUAAACCCCAAAAUUAUUCCAUAUGAGUCCAUUAUACCUUCCUAUAUGUGGUAUUUACCUACCAUUCCAAGUAAAUUUGUAUGUGCCAAACUCUAAACCUUCAAAUAAACAUUCUAUUUUGCAUGCUCGAAUAAAUCAUAUGUCAACUAGAGCUUCCCUUAUCUUCUAUGUUAGGCGGGUUAUUCUCAAGAGGAGUGGACUCCGCUCCUCAUUCACGAGAAAAUGGCUGGUAUCCGGGAUGCCCAGUCCCAUGCUUCGUGCAAACUAAAUCAAAAUAAUUGCAAACAAAACUCCCCUUGGGACCCGCUGAAUGUUGGAGGCACUCGUUGUUUCGAGCAAGCCAUGGAUUGAUGCUUGUGGAGGAAGGGGAGUAUAAACUUUACCAUUCUGUUUGGGAACCGCCUAUAAUCUGUUUAGCAUGGAAGAUAUCAUCGUCUUUUAGUUGUUAUGUUGACAAUGAAAGUAUGCCGCUCAAAAUAUAAUUUAUCUGUAUUUCAAACUCGAGCUCUGGCACCUCUACAAAUCCCUGCUUCCCUCUGCGAAGGGCCUAUCUAUUUACUUUUAUGUUGAGUCAUCACCCUUCUUAUUAAAAAGCACCCGCUGGAGAGCACACUGUCGUUUGCAUUCAUUAUUAUUGGUUUAUAUUGGGUAUAACUUGACUGUAUCUCUUUUACCAUGAAUUACAAUGUUUAGUCAGUCCUUGAUCUUUAAAGGUGCUCUGCAUUUAUGUUUUGCGGUCUCAGAAAGGGCUAGCGAGAUACCAUUUUGUUAUAUCAUGUUAUGAUUAUUUUGAGAAAGUGUUGUCAUCCGAGUUUUAUUAUUAUGGCUCGCUAGCUGAUUAUGCUAUUGAUAUGAGUAAUUGUGAUACCUACGUGUUAUUGUGAGUAUGGUUAGUUCAUAAUAAUUGCUGAAACUUGAAUGCUGGCUUUUCAUGUUUACAACAACAAGAGCAAACAGAGUUUGUAAAAGUUUUUCUUUUUCUCUUUCAGUUUGUCAACUGAAUUUCUCGAGGACAAGCAAGGGUUUAAGCUUGGGGGAGUUGAUACGUCUCCGUCGUAUCUACUUUUCCAAACACUUUUGCCCUUGUUUUGGACUCUAACUUGUAUGAUUUGAAUGGAACUAACCCGGACUGACGCUGUUUUCAGCAGAACUGCCAUGGUGUUGUUUUUUGUGCAGAAAAUAAAGAUUCUCGAAAUGUCCUGAAACUCCACAGAACACCUUAGAAAAAAUAAAGAAAAAUCCUCGCAAAAGAUGAAGUCCAGGGGGCCCACACCCUGCUCACGAGGGUGGGGGCGCGCUCCCCUACCUCGUGGGCCCCCUGGUGGCCCUCCAACGCCAACUCCAACUCCAUAUAUUGGCUUUAGGGGAGAAAAAAAUAAGAGAGAAGAAAUCAUAGCAUUUUACGAUACAGAGCCGCCGCCAAGCCCUAAUCUCUCUCGGGAGGGCUGAUCUGGAGUGCCAUGAUUUCAGAUCUGAACCUAUUAUGUUUUCAUGAUUAUAUUUGUGUUCUAGAUCCUAUCUUGCAAGUCUAUAGUCACCUACUAUGUGUUAUGAUCCGGCAACCCCGAAGUGACAAUAAUCGGGACCACUCCCGAUGAUGACCAUAGUUUGAGGAGUUCAUGUAUUCACUAUGUGCUAAUGCUUUGUUCUAGUUCUCUAUUAAAAGGAGGCCUUAAUAUCCCUUAGUUUCCAAUAGGACCCCGCUGCCACGGGAGGGUAGGACAAAAGAUUUCAUGCAAGUUCUUUUCCAUAAGCACGUAUGACUAUAUACGGAAUACAUCCCUACAUUACAUUGAUGAACUGGAGCUAGUUCUGUGUCACCCUAUGUUAUGACUGCUACAUGAUGAACCACAUCCGGCAUAAUUAUCCAUCGCUAAUCCGGUGCCUACGAGUUUUCCAUAUACUGGUUUCACUUAUUUACUUUUCCGUUGCUAUUGUUACAAUCUUUACAAAAUACCAAAAACAUUACUUUUACUGUCUUUACUUUUGUUACCGUUACCACCACUAUCAUAUUACUUUGCUACUAAACGUUUUGCUGCAGAUACUAAGUUUCCAGGUGUGGUUGAAUUGACAACUCAGCUGCUAAUACUUGAGAAUAUUCUUUGGCUCCCCUUGUGUCGAAUCAAUAAAUUUGGGUUGAAUACUCUACCCUCGAAAACUGUUGCGAUCCCCUAUACUUGUGGGUUAUCAGCGAGUUCUUUGUUUGUUUGUGUAGGUGCGUGGGACUUUUGAGGAUCCUCCUACUGGAUUGAUACCUUGAUUCUGAAAAACUGAGGGAAAUACUUAUGCUACUAUUGCUGCAUCACCCUUUCCUCUUCAAGGAAAACCAACGCAAGCUCAAGACAUAGCAGUAUCCAGAAUGAGACUCAAAGUCAUCCGGAUCGGUGUCAAAGCUUGCAUCGACGUAACCCUUUACGACGAACUCUUUAUCACCUCCAUAACAGAGAAACAUUUCCUUAGUCCUCUUAGGUAUCUAAGGUUAAUUUUGACCGUUGUCUAGUGAUCCACUCCUGGAUCACUAUUGUAUCCCCUUGCCAGACUCAUGGCAAGGCACACGACAGGUCUGGUACACAGGAUGGCAUACUUUAUAGAACCUAUGGCUGAGGCAUAGGGAAUGACUUUCAUUCUCUCUCUAUCUUCUGCCGUGUCCAGGCUUUGAGUCUUACUCAACUUCAUACCUUGCAACACAGGCAAGAACCCUUUCUUUGACUAGUCCAUUUUGAACUUCUUCAAAACUUUGUCAAGGUAUGUGCUUUGUGUAAGUCCUAUUAAGCGUCUUGAUCUAUCUCUAUAGAUCUUGAUGCCCAAUAUAUAAGCAGCUUCACUGAGGUCUUUCAUUGAAAAAUUCUUAUCCAAGUAUCUUUUUAUGCUAUCCAGAAAUACUAUAUCAUUUCCAAUCAGCAAUAUGUCAUCCACAUAUAAUAUUGGAAAUGCUACAGAGCUCCUGCUCCCACUCACUUUCUUGUAAAUACAGGCUUCACAAUGGUCUGUAUAAAAUCAAAAUGCUUUGAUCACCUCAUCAAAGCAUUUAUUCAAACUCCGAGAUGCUUGCACCAGUCCAUAGAUGGAUCGCUGGAGCUUGCACACUUUGUUAGCACCUUUAGGAUUGACAAAAACUUUCGGCUGCAUCAUAUACAACUCUUCAUUAAGAAACUCGUUAAGGAAUGCAGUUUUUGACAUCUAUUUGCCAGAUUUCAUAAUCAUAAAAUGCGGCAAUUGUUAACAUGAUUCGAACAGACAUAAGCAUCGCUAGGGGUGAGAAAGUCUCAUCAUAGUUAACCCCUUGAACUUGUCGCAAACCUUUUGCAACAAGUAGAGCUUUGUACACAUCGAUAUUAGCGUCAGUGUUCGUCUUCCUAUUAAAGAUCCAUUUAUUGUUAAUGGCUUGUCGAUCAUCGGGAAAAUCCACCAUAGUACAUACCUUGUUCUCAUACAUGGAUCAUAUCUCAGAUUUCGUGGCCUCAAGCCAUUUAUCAGAAUCCGGGCUCAUCAUAGCUUCUUCAUAGUUCAUAGGAUCCCCGUUUUCCAACACCAUAACUUCCAGGACAGGAUUACCGUACCAUUCUAGUGUGAUAUGUGUUCUUGUCCACUCACGAGGUUUAGUACUAACUUGAUCUAAAGUUUCAUGAUCCUCAUCAUUAGAUUCCUCUCUAGUUGGUGUAGGCAUCAUGGGAAUAGUUUUCUCUGGUGUGCUAUUUUCCAAUUCGAGAGAAGGUACAAUUACCUCAUCAAGUUCUACUUUCCUCCCACUCACUUCUUUCGAGAGAAACUCCUUCUCUAGAAAGGACCCAUUCUUGGCAACAAAGAAUUUUUGCGUUCGGGUCUAUGGUAGAAGGUAUACCCAAUAGUUUCUUUCGGGUAUCCCAUGAAGACUCACUUCUCCGCUUUGAGUUUGAGCUUGUCAGGCUGAAGCCAUUUGACAUAAGUGUCACAUCCCCAAACUUUAAGAAACGAUAGUAGGUUUCUUGCCAAACCACAGUUCAUAUGAUGUCGUCUCAAUGGAUUUAGACGGUGCCCUAUUUAACGUGAAUGCGACUGUCUCUAAUGCAUAACCCCAAAACGGUAGUGGUAAAUCGGUAAGAGACGUCAUAGAAUGCACCAUAUCUAAUAAAGUACAGUUACGACGUUCGGACACACCAUUACGUUGUGGUGUUCCAGGUAGCUUGAGUUGUGAAACAAUUCCACAUUGUUUUAAAUGAAGGCCAAACUCGUAACUCGCCUCCGCGAUCAAAUUGUAAAAAAUUUAUUUUCUUGUUACGAUGAUUCUCCACUUCACUAUGAAAUUCUUUGAACUUUUCAAAUGUUUCAGACUUCUGUUUCAUCAAGAAGACAUACCCAUACCUACUCAAAUCAUGUGUGAAGGUCAGGAAAUAAUGAUACCCGCCGCGUGCUUCAACACUCAUAGGACCGCAUACAUUGAUAUGUAUUAUUUUCAAGAAGUCAUUAGCUCACUCCAUUGUUCCGGAGAACGGAGUUUUAGUCAUCUUGCCCAUGAGGCAUGGUUCACAAGUCUCAAGUGAUUCCAAAAGUCCAUCCACAUGGAGUUUCUUCAUGCACUUUACACCAAUAUGACCUAAACGGAACUGCCACAAAUAUGUUGCACUUAUCAUUAUCAAUUUUGCAUCUUUUGGCAUCAAUAUUAUGAAAAUGUGUAUCACUACGAUCAUGAUUCAAUAAACCAUUCACAUUGGGUGUAUGAUCAUAGAAGGUUUUACUCAUGUAAACAAAACAACAAUUAUUCUCUAACUUAGAUGAAUAAUCGUAUUGCAAUAAACACGAUCCAAUCAUGUUCAUGCUCAAUGCAAACACCAAAUAACAUUUAUUUAGGCUCAACUCUAAUACCGAAGGUAGAGGGAGUGUGCGAUGGUGAUCAUAUCAAUCUUGGAAAACACUUCCAACACACAUCGUCACCUCGCCCUUAACUAGUCUCCAUUUAUUCUGCACCUCCUGUUUCGAGUUACUAAUCUUAUCAACUGAACCAAUAUCAAAUACCCAGGGGCUACUAUGAGCACUAGUAAGGUACACAUCAAUAACAUGUAUAUCAAAUAUACCUUUGUUCACUUUGCCAUCCUUCUUACCCGCCAAGUAUUUGGGGCAGUUCCGCUUCUAGUGACCAUUCCCUUUGCAGUAGAAUCACUCAGUUUCAGGCUUAGUCUAGCUUUGGGCUUCUUCACGGGAGUGACAACUUGCUUGCCAUUCUUCUUGAAGUUCCCGUUGCCCUUUUUCUUGAAACUAGUGGUCUUGUUAACCAUCAACACUUGAUGCUCUUUCUUGAUUUCUACCUUCGCCGAUUCUAGCAUCGCGAAGAGCUCGAGAAUCAUUUUCGUCAUCCCUUGCAUAUUAUAGUUUAUUACCAAGUUCUAGUAGCUUGGUGAUAGUGACUAGAGAACUCUGUCAAUCACUAUCUUAUCUAGAACAUUUACUCCCACUUGAUUCAAGCGAUUGUAGUACCCAGGCAUUCUGAACACAUGCUCACUGGCUAAGCUAUUCUCCUCGAUCUUUAGGCAAAGUAUUUGUCAGAGGUCUCAUACCUCUUGAUAUGGGCAUGAGUCUGAAAUACCAAUUUCAGCUCUUGGAACAUCUCAUAUGCUCCAUGGCAUUCAAAACAUUUUUGAAUUCCCAGUUCUAAGUUGUAAAGCAUGGCGCACUAAACUAUUAAGUAGUCAUCAUAUCGAGCUUGCCAAAUAUCUAUAUCAUCUGCAUCUGCUCCUGCAAUAGGUGUGUCACCUAGCGGUGCAUCAAGGAUAUAAUUCUUCUGUGCAGCAAUGAGGAUAAUCCUCAUAUCAUGGACCGAGUCUGCAUCAUUUCUACUAUCAUCUUUCAACUUAGUUUUCUCUAGAACAUAUCAAAAAAUAGGGGAGCUAUAUUGCGAGCUAUAGAUCUACAACAUAGAUAUGCAAAACUAUUAAGACUAAGUUCAUGAUAAAUUAAGUUCAACUAAUAAAAUUACUAAUGAAGUCCCUCUUAAAAUUAACAUCCCUCAAGUUAUCUAAGUGAUACAUGAUUCAGAUCAACUAACCCAUGUCUGAUCAUCAUGUGAGAUGGGGUAGUCAUCAAUGGUGAACAUCUCUAUGUUGAUCAUAUCUACUAUUUGACUCAGGUUCGACCUUUCAGUCUCCAGUGUUCCAAGACCAUGCUUUUACAUGCUAGGCUUGUCAAGUUUAACCAAGUAUUCUGCAUGUGCAAAACUGUCUUACACCCGUUGUAUGUGAACGUAGAGUCUAUCACACCCGACCAUCACGAGGUGCUUCGAAACGACGAACUUUAGCAAUAGUGCAUACUCGGAGAGAACAUUUAUAUCUUGAAAUUUAGUGAAGGGAUCAUCUUAUAAUGCUAUAGCCAUUCUAAGCAAAAUAAGAUGCGUAAAGGAUAAACAUCACAUGCAAUCAAAAUAUGUGACAUGAUAUGGCCAUCAUCAUCUUGUGCUUUUAAUCUCCAUCUCCAAAGCAUCAUCAUGAUCUCCAUCAUCACUCGCUCAACACCUUGAUCUCCAUCAUAGCGCCGAAGUCGUCUCGCCAACUGUUGCUUCUACAACUGCUAACGCAUAGCAAUAAAGUAAAUCAAUUGCAUGGCGCUUUCAUUUCAUACAAUAAUUAAGGGACAACCCUAAGGCUCCUGUCGGUUGUCGAUAUUUACAAAACAUGGUCAUAUCAUACAACAAUGUAUAUCACAUCACGUCUUGACCAUAUCACAUCACAACAUACCCUACAAACACAAGUUAGACGUCCUCUACUUUGUUGUUGCAAGUUUUGUGUGGCUGCUACGGGUUUCUAGCAAGAACCGUUCUUACCUACAGCAAAAAUCACAACGGUGAUUUAUCAAGUUUGUUGUUUUAACCUUUUUCAAACACUGGUCGCAGUCAAACUUGAUUCAACUAAAGUAGGAGAAACAGACACCCGUUAACCACCUUUAUGUUAAACAAGUUGCAUGUCAGUCGGUGGAACCGAUCUCAUGUGCGUGGACAUGUAAGUUUGGUCCGGGCCGCUUCAUCCCACAAUACCACCGAAUCAAAAUAAGACGUUGGUGGUAGGCAGUAUGACUAUCACCACCCACAACUCUAUGUGUUCUACUCGUGCAUAUCAUCUACGCAUAGACCUGACUCGGAUGCCACUGUUGGGGAAUGUUGCAUGGAAAACAAAAAAAUUCUACACACACACAAGAUCUAUCCAUGGAGAUGCAUAUCUACAAGAGGGGAAGUGCAUCUACGCACCCUUGUAGGUCGCUAAGCGGAAGGUCUUAUCACGCGGUUGAUGUAGUCGUACUCUUUGCGAUCCGAUCAUGAUCCAACCGAUCUAGUGUGGAACGGAUGGCACAUCCGAGUUUAGCACAUGUGCGGCUCGAUGAUGUCUCCACCUUCUUGAUCCAGCAAGCGAGAGAGGAUAAAUAGAUGGGAUCAUAACCAACAUGACGGCGUGGUGGUGAUGGUGGUGGUGGAGCACCGAUAAUGCUUUGCUAAGCGUCGCCGGGAUGAGGCGGUGGAACUACGGAGUAACAGGAGAGAGAGGGGCGCCAAGGGCUUGGUGUGUGCUCCUGGGGCGCCCCUCCCCUCUAUAUAUAGGUGGAGGUGCGUGGGAAACAGCCCUCCAAGCCCUAGGGCGCAGCUAAGGGGGAGAGGACUUGGACUCCAAGUCCAAUCCUACUCCUACUAGUAGAACGACCGCGCGUUGCUAUGGGCUACAAUGCAUAUAUUUGAGUGAAUCAACAACAAUCCUAUAAUAACCUUCUCUCUCUCUGCUCUUCUCAGUCUCUCCCUUCCUCCAAUCACCCUUCCUCAACUCACACUUGAUAGAAGAGCAUAUAAGUCAUGAAUAUUUUGUAAAGUAAAACUAAGGUCUCUAAAUUCAAUGGACCACUCAGAAUCCAAUGUUGACAAUCAGACAUGUACCAUCCCCAUGCCAGAUCGGCCCUGCAGCCCCGAGCACCAUUUUAAUCAUGUAUGUGUGUGUGCGCCGUUGUCCUUGCUCUGAUGGAUACCUGUCACUGCCACGCAGAGGGCACACACACGACCGUGUUACUGUACAAUGCCGCUGCCUUGCUCGUCGUAAUUUUUCUCGAUGCCAUCAUCGGCCUUUACCCCGCCUCCAAAUAUGUAUUGCCACGAUGGAACAGCACCAGCUCGCACCAACAGUCACCCAUGGACACCAUGCAUCUGAACAAGAUUUAUUCCUUGUCCAUCGGUAUAUCCCAACAUUAUCUACAAGUUUUGGUAAUAUGGAUCUUAAUAUAACUAUGGAAAUCCAAUACAUUCAAAUAACCUACAUGCAACUCAAAGACACGGUCUACACUCUGAUGAUAACCGGGUUGGGAAAUGAGAUUUAAAUAAUGAACUGAGAUUCCUUCAUCAUCUUUAGAAACUAAAGUCGAAGUCUUGCUCUCUCUAUGUUAGCUGACUAAAUUUAUAAGCAUUGCGUCACCACUGCGGAACCUAGAGGGAUACCUCCGUGCCGGCUGCGGUCGUUUUGGCGGAGCCGAGCGGGCGCCGUCAUGCUGCUCGUUGGUCUGGACCCGAAUGUUGAUUGUUGCAGCGACAAGAUCAGGGGCUUGGGCUAGGGAAUUUGAAAACUUGAGUGUACACUCGAGUAGAAUAUCCACCCUCAAAUGACAGCAUGUGCUCUGUAAUGAGCAUAUCUAGCACCACUAAAAUUUGCAGGAUAAAAGCAAAAUUACUCUGCAUUACAUAGGAGACGACACAGUUUUGCCCAAUUUACACGUGAUGUCUACUACGUAGCUUUAUUCUUGUAGACACGUGUUGGGCCUCCAAGCGUAGAGUUUUGUAGGAUAGUAGCAAUUUUCCUCAAGUGGAUGACCUAAGGUUUAUCAAUCCAUGAGAGGUGUAGGAUGAAGAUGGUCUCUCUCAAAUGACCCUGCAACCAAAUACAAGAAAUCUCUUGUGUCCCCAACACACCAAAUACAAUGGAAAAUUGUAUAGGUGCACUAGUUCGGCGAAAAGAUGGUGAUAAAAGUGUAAUAUGGAUGGUAGAAAUAUAUUUUUAUAAUCUAAAUAAAUAAACACAGCAAGAUAGCAAAUAGUAAACGGGCACAAAAACGGUGUUGCAAUGCUUAAAAAAUGAGGCCUAGGGUUCGUACUUUCGCUAGUGCAACCUCUCAACAAUGCUAACAUAGUUGGAUCAUAUGAUUAUCCCUCAAAGUGCAAUAAAGAAUCACUCCCGAGUUCCUAUUAGCGGAGAACAAAAGAUAGGAAUUGUUUGUAGGGCACGAAACCAACUCAAAGCUAUUCUUUCUGUUCGAUCUAUUCAAGAGUUCAUACUAAAAUGACACAAAGCUUUUUUUCCAUUCGAUCUAUCCUAGAGUUCGUACAAGAAUAACACCAAAGCAAAUUCAUAUUCAUAAUACGCGAUCCACACAAAGAACUAUAAAGAGACCCCAAAGUUUCCGUCGGAGAAAAAUGUUCAUCAACCCCUAUGCACAGAUUACCCCAAUAUCACCGCGGGAAUCCGAGAGUUGAAUGCCAUAACACAUAUCAAGUGAAUCAAUAAGAUACCUCAUUGUCACCUCAAGUAUUCAUACUGCAAGACAUAUAUCAUGUGUUCUCAUCUAUGAAUAUUCAAUCCGACAAGAUAAAACUUUGAAGGGUAAAGAUUCAAUUCAUCAUAACAAGAGUAUAGAGGGGAGAAACUGUUGGAAAUAUGCCCUAGAGGCAAUAAUAAAAGGAUUAUUAUUAUAUUUCCUUGUUCAUGAUAAUUGUCUUUAUUCAUGCUAUAAUUGUAUUAUCCGGAAAUCGUAAUACACGUGUGAAUAGAUAGACCAUAAUAUGUCCCUAGUAAGCCUCUAGUUGACUAGCUCGUUGAUCAACAGAUAGUCAUGGUUUCCUGACUAUGGACAUUAGAUGUCAUUGAUAAUGGGAUCACAUCAUUAGGAGAAUGAUGUGAUGGACAAGACCCAAUCCUAAGCAUAGCACAAGAUCCUGUAGUUCGUUUUGCUAGAGCUUUUACAAUGUCAAGUAUCUUUUCCUUAGACCAUGAGAUCGUGUAACUCCCGGAUACCGUAGGAGUGCUUUGGGUGUACCAAAUGUCACAAUGUAACUGGGUGACUAUAAAGGUGCACUACAGGUAUUUCCGAAAGUGUCUGUUGGGUUGACACGGAUCGAGACUGGGAUUUGUCACUCUGUAUGACGGAGAGGUAUCUCUGGGCCCACUCGGUAAUGCAUCAUCAUAAUGAGCUCAAAGUGACCAAGUGUCUGGUCACGGGAUCAUGCAUUACGGUACGAGUAAAGUGACUUGCCGGUAACGAGAUUGAACGAGGUAUUGGGAUACCGAUGAUCGAAUCUAGGCCAAAUAACGUACCGAUUGACAAAGGGAAUUGUAUACGGGGUUGCUUAAAUCCUCGACAUCGUGGUUCAUCCGAUGAGAUCAUAGAGGAGCAUGUGGGAGCCAACAUGGGUAUCCAGAUCCCUCUGUUGGUUAUUUACCGGAGAGCCGUCUCGGUCAUGUCUACGUGUCUCCCGAACCCGUAGGGUCUACACACUUAAGGUUCGGUGAUGCUAGGGUUGUAGAGAUAUGAGUAUGCAGCAAACCGAAAGUUUUUCGGAGUCCCGGAUGAGAUCCCGGACGUCACGAGGAGUUCCGGAAUGGUCCGGAGGUAAAGAAUAAUAUAUAGGAAGUGCAGUUUCGGCCAUCGGGAGAGUUUCGGGGGUCACCGGUAUUGUAAUGGGACCACCGGAAGGGUCCCGGGGGUCCAUCGGGUGGGGCCACCUAUCGCGGAGGGCCCCGUGGGCUGAAGUGGGGAGGGNNNNNNNNNNNNNNNNNNNNNNNNNNNNNNNNNNNNNNNNNNNNNNNNNNNNNNNNNNNNNNNNNNNNNNNNNNNNNNNNNNNNNNNNNNNNNNNNNNNNNNNNNNNNNNNNNNNNNNNNNNNNNNNNNNNNNNNNNNNNNNNNNNNNNNNCGGCCCCCCUCUGCGCCUAGGGUUGGGAACCCUAGGGGAGGGGGCGCCUCCACUUGCCUUGGGGGGCACUCCACCCACCUUGGCCGCCGCCCCCCUAGAGAUCCCAUCUCUAGGGCCGGCGCCCCCCUGGGGGCCUAUAUAAAGGAGGGGGGAGGGAGGGUAGCCGCUCCCUGAAGUCUUGGCGCCUCCCUCUCCCCUGCUACACCUCUCCCUCUCGCAGAAGCUCGGUGAAGCUCUGCCGGAACUCUGCUGCAUCCACCACCACGCCGCCGUGCUGCUGGAUCUUCAUCAACCUCUCCCUCCUCCUUGCUAGAUCAAGGUGCAGGAGACGUCAUCCGCUCCGUAUGUGUGUUGAACACGGAGGUGCUGUCCGUUCGGCACUUGGUCAUCGGUGAUUUGGAUCACGACGAGUACGACUCCCUCAACCUCGUUCUCUUGAAUGCUUCCGCUCGCGAUCUACAAGGGUAUGUAGAUGCACUCCCCUCUCUCGUUGCUGGAUGAACUCAUAGAUUGAUCUUUGUGAACGUAGGAAAAUUUUAUUUUAUGCAACGUUCCCCAACUGUGGCAUCAUGAGCUAGGUCUAUGCGUAGUUCUCUAUUGCACGAGUAGAACACAAAUUUGUUGUGGGCGUAGAUGUUGUCAACUUUCUUGCCACUACUAGUCUUAUUUUGCUUCAGCGGUAUUGUGGGAUGAAGCGGCCCGGACCGACCUUACACGUACGCUUACGUGAGACAGGUUCCACCGACUGACAUGCACUAGUUGCAUAAGGUGGCUAGCGGGUGUUUGUCUCUCCCACUUUAGUUGGAGCGGAUUCGAUGAAAAGGGUCCUUAUGAAGGGUAAAUAGAAGUUGACAAAUCACAUUGUGGCUUUUUUGUAGGUAAGAAAACGUUCUUGCUAGAACCCUAUUGCAGCCACGUAAAAGAUGCAACAACAAUUAGAGGACGUCUAACUUGUUUUUGCAGCAAUUGCCUUAUGAUGUGAUAUGGUCAAAAGUUGUGAUGAAUGAUGAAUGAUAUAUUGUGAUGUAUGAGAUCAUGUUCUUGUAAUAGGAAUCACGACUUGCAUGUCGAUGAGUAUGACAACCGGCAGGAGCCAUAGGAGUUGUCUUAAUUAUUGUAUGACCUGCGUGUCAAUGAUUUAACGCCAUGUAAUUACUUUACUUUAUUGCUAAAAUGUUAGCCAUAGUAGUAGAAGUAAUAGUUGGCGAGCAACUUCAUGGAGACAUGAUGAUGGAGAUCAUGGUGUCAUGCCGGUGACGAAGAUGAUCAUGGAUCCCCGAAGAUGGAGAUCAAAGGAGCUAUAUGAUAUUGGCCAUAUCAUGUCACUACUAUAUAAUUGCAUGUGAUGUUUAUUAUAUUUAUGCAUCUUGUUUACUUAGAACAACGGUAGUAAAUAAGAUGAUCCCUUAUAAUAAUUUCAAGAAAGUGUUCUCCCCUAACUGUGCGCCGUUGCUACAGUUCGUCGUUUCGAAGCACCACGUGAUGAUCGGGUGUGAUAGAUUCUUAUGUUCACAUACAACGGGUGUAAGACAGGUUUACACAUGCAAAAACACUUAGGGUUAACUUGACGAGCCUAGCAUGUACAGACAUGGCCUCGGAACACAGAGACCGAAAGGUCGAACAUGAGUCGUAUGGAAGAUACGAUCAACAUGGAGAUGUUCACCGAUGAUGACUAGUCUGUCUCACGUGAUGAUCGGACACGGCCUAGUCGACUCGGAUCAUGUAACACUUAGAUGACUAGAGGGAUGUCUAAUCUGAGUGGGAGUUCAUUAGAUAAUUUGAUUAGAUGAACUUAAUCAUCAUGAACUUAGUCUAAAACCUUUGCAAAUAUGUCUUGUAGAUCAAAUGGCCAACGCUCAUGUCAACAUGAACUUCAACGCGUUCCUAGAGAAAACAAAGCUGAAAGAUGAUGGCAGCAACUAUACAGACUGGGUCUGGAACCUGAGGAUCAUCCUCAUAGCUGCCAAGAAAGCAUAUGUCCUAGAAGGACCGUUAGGUGAAGCACCCAUCCCAGAGAACCAAGACGUUAUGAACGCUUGGCAGUCACGUGCUGAUGAUUACUCCCUCGUUCAGUGCGGCAUCCUUUACAUCCUAGAACCGGGGCUCCAAAAGCGUUUUGAGCAACACGGAGCAUAUGAGAUGUUCAAGGAGCUAAAAAUGGUUUUCCAAGCUCAUGCCCGGGUCGAGAGAUAUGAAGUCUCCGACAAGUCCUACAGUUGUAAGAUGGAGGAAAAUAGUUUUGUUAGUGAGCACAUACUCAAAAUGUCUGGGUUGCACAACCGCCUGUCCCAGCUGGACAUUAACCUCCCGGACGAGGCGGUCAUUGACAGAAUCCUUCAGUCACUCCCACCGAGCUACAAGAGCUUUGUGAUGAACUACAAUAUGCAGGGGAUGGUGAAAACUAUUCUUGAAGUAUUUUCAAUGCUGAAGUCGGUAGAGGUAGAAAUCAAGAAAGAACAUCAAGUGUUGAUGGUCAAUAAAACCACCAAGUUCAAGAAGGGCAAGGGUAAGAAGAACUUCAAGAAGGACGGCAAGGAUGUUGCCGCGCCCGGUAAGCCAGUUGCCGGGAAGAAGUCAAAGAAUGGACCCAAGCCUGAGACUGAGUGCUUUUAUUGCAAAGGGAAGGGUCACUGGAAGUGGAACUGCCCCAAAUACUUAGCAGACAAGAAGGCCGGCAACACUAAAGGUAUAUGUCAUAUACAUGUAAUUGAUGUGUACCUUACCAGUACUCGUAGUAACUCCUGGAUAUUUGAUACCGAUGUCGUUGCUCAUAUUUGUAACUCACAGCAGGAGCUGCGGAAUAAGCGGAGACUGGCGAAGGACGAGGUGAUGAUGCGCAUCGGGAAUGGUUCCAAGGUCGAUGUGAUCACCGUCGGCACGCUACCUCUACAUUUACCUACGGGAUUAGUUUUAAACCUCGAUAAUUGUUAUUUAGUGCCAAGUUUGAGCAUGAACAUUGUAUCUGGAUCUCGUUUGAUACGAGAUGGCUACUCAUUUAAAUCCGAGAAUAAUGGUUGUCCUAUUUAUAUGAGAGAUAUGUUUUAUGGUCAUGCCCCGAUGGUCAAUGGUUUAUUCUUAAUGAAUCUCGAGCGUAAUGUUACACAUAUUCAUAGUGUGAAUACCAAAAGAUGUAAAGUUGAUAACGAUAGUCCCACAUACUUGUGGCACUGCAGCCUUGGUCACAUUGGUGUCAAGCGCAUGAAGAAGCUCCAUGCUAAUGGACUUUUAGAGUCUCUAGAUUAUGAAUCGUUUGACACAUGCGAGCCAUGCCUCAUGGGCAAGAUGACCAAGACUCCGUUCUCCGGAACAAUGGAGCGAGCAACCAACUUGUUGGAAAUCAUACAUACUGAUGUGUGCGUUCCAAUGAGCAUUGAGGCUCGCGGAGGAUAUCGUUAUGUUCUCACUCUCACUGAUGACUUUAGUAGAUAUGGGUAUGUCUACUUAAUGAAACACAAGUCUGAGACCUUUGAAAAGUUCAAGGAAUUUCAGAAUGAGGUAGAGAAUCAACGUGACCGAAAGAUAAAGUUCCUACGAUCAGAUCGUGGAGGAGAAUAUUUAAGUCACGAAUUUGGUACGCACUUAAGGAAAUGUGGAAUCGUUUCACAACUCACGCCGCCUGGAACACCUCAGCGUAAUGGUGUGUCCGAACAUCGUAAUCGCACUCUAUUGGAUAUGGUGCGGUCUAUGAUGUCUCUUACCGAUUUACCGCUAUCAUUUUGGGGAUACGCUCUAGAGACAGCUACAUUCACUUUAAAUAGGGCUCCAUCUAAAUCCGUUGAGAUGACACUGUAUGAAUUAUGGUUUGGGAAGAAACCUAAGAUGUUGUUUCUAAAAGUUUGGGGAUGCGAUGCUUAUGUCAAGAAACUUCAACCUGAAAAGCUCGAACCCAAGUCGGAAAAAUGCAUCUUCAUAGGAUACCCUAAGGAAACCAUUGGGUAUACCUUCUAGUUAAGAUCCGAGGGCAAGAUCUUUGUUGCCAAGAACGGAUCCUUUCUGGAAAAAGAGUUUCUCUCGAAAGAAGUAAGUGGGAGCAAAGUAGAACUUGAUGAAGUACUACCUCUUGAACCGGAAAGUAGUGCAGCUCAGGAAAAUGUUCCUGUGGUGCCUACACCAUCUGGAGAGGAAAUUAAUAAUCAAGGUACUUCGGAUCAAGUUGCUACCGAACUUCAUAGGUCCACAAGGACACAUUCCACACCAGAGUGGUAUGGCAACCCUGUCCUGGAAAUCAUGUUGCUAGACAACGGUGAACCUUCGAACUAUGAAGAAGUGAUGGCGGGCCCAGAUUCCAACAAUUGGCUUGAAGCCAUGCAAUCCGAGAUAGAAUCCAUGUAUGAAAACAAAGUAUGGACUUUGACAGACUUGCCCGAUGAUCGGCGAGCGAUAGAAAACAAAUGGAUCUUUAAGAAGAAGACGGACGCGGAUGGUAAUGUUACCAUCUAUAAAGCUCGACUUGUCACUAAGGGUUAUCGACAAGUUCAAGGGGUUGACUAUGAUGAGACAUUCUCUCCCGUAGCGAAGCUGAAGUCCGUCCAAAUCAGGUUAGCAAUUGCCGCAUACUAUGAUUAUGAGAUAUGGCAGAUGGACGUCAAAACGGCAUUCCUUAACGGGCAUCUUAAGGAAGAACUGUAUAUGAUGCAGCCGGAGGGUUUUGUCGAUCCUAAGAAUGCUAACAAAGUAUGCAAGCUCCAGCGAUCCAUUUAUGGGCUGGUGCAAGCAUCUCGGAGUUGGAACAUUCGCUUUGAUGAGAUGAUCAAAGCGUUUGGGUUUAUGCAGACUUAUGGAGAUGCUUGCGUUUACAAGAAAGUGAGUGGGAGCUCUGUAGCAUUUCUCAUAUUAUAUGUAGAUGACAUACUCUUGAUGGGAAAUGAUAUAGAACUUUUGGACAACAUUAAGGCCUACUUGAACAAGUGUUUUUCAAUGAAGGACCUUGGAGAAGCUGCUUACAUAUUAGGCAUCAAGAUCUAUAGGGAUAGAACAAGACGCCUCAUAGGUCUUUCACAAAGCACAUACCUUGAUAAGAUUUUGAAGAAGUUCAAGAUGGAUCAGUCCAAGAAAGGGUUCUUGCCUGUAUUGCAAGGUGUGAGAUUGAGCUCGGCUCAAUGCCCGACCACGGCAAAAGAUAAAUAAGAGAUGAGUGUCAUCCCCUAUGCUUCAGCCAUAGGAUCUAUUAUGUAUGCCAUGAUGUGUACCAGACCUGAUGUAAACCUUGCCGUAAGUUUGGUAGGAAGGUACCAAAGUAAUCCCGGCAAGAAACACUGGACAGCGGUCAAGAAUAUCAUGAAGUACCUGAAAAGGACAAAGGACAUGUUUCUCGUUUAUGGAGGUGACGAAGAGCUCGUCGUAAAGGGUUACGUCGAUGCUAGCUUUGACACGGAUCUGGAUGACUCUAAGUCACAAACCGGAUACGUGUAUAUGUUGAAUGGUGGAGCAGUAAGCUGGUGCAGCUGCAAACAGAGCGUCAUGGCGGGAUCUACAUGUGAAGUGGAGUACAUGGCAGCCUCGGAGGCAGCGCAUGAAGCAAUUUGGGUGAAGGAGUUCAUCACCGACCUAGGAGUCAUACCCAAUGCGUCGGGGCCGAUCAAACUCUUCUGUGACAACACUGGAGCUAUUGCCCUUGCCAAGGAGCCCAGGUUUCACAAGAAGACCAGGCACAUCAAGCGUCGUUUCAACUCCAUCCUUGAAAAUGUUCAAGAUGGAGACAUAGAUAUUUGCAAAGUACAUACGGAUCUAAAUGUCGCAGAUCCGUUGACUAAACCUCUUUCGCGACCAAAACAUGAUCAACACCAGAACUCUAUGGGUGUUCGAUUCAUCACAAUGUAACUAGAUUAUUGACUCUAGUGCAAGUGGGAGACUGUUGGAAAUAUGCCCUAGAGGCAAUAAUAAAAGGAUUAUUAUUAUAUUUCCUUGUUCAUGAUAAUUAUCUUUAUUCAUGCUAUAAUUGUAUUAUCCGGAAAUCGUAAUACACGUGUGAAUACAUAGACCAUAAUAUGUCCCUAGUAAGCCUCUAGUUGACUAGCUCGUUGAUCAACAGAUAGUCAUGGUUUCCUGACUAUGGACAUUAGAUGUCAUUGAUAACGGGAUCACGUCAUUAGAAGAAUGAUGUGAUGGAAAAGACCCAAUCCUAAGCAUAGCACAAGAUCCUAUAGUUCGUUUUGCUAGAGCUUUUACAAUGUCAAGUAUCUUUUCCUUAGACCAUGAGAUCGUGUAACUCCUGGAUACCGUAGGAGUGCUUUGGGUGUACCAAACGUCACAACGUAACUGGGUGACUAUAAAGGUGCACUACAGGUAUUUCCGAAAGUGUCUGUUGGGUUGACACGGAUCGAGACUGGGAUUUGUCACUCCGUAUGACGGAGAGGUAUCUCUGUGCCCACUCGGUAAUGCAUCAUCAUAAUGAGCACAAAGUGACCAAGUGUCUGGUCACGGGAUCAUGCAUUACGGUACGAGUAAAGUGACUUGCCGGUAACGAGAUUGAACGAGGUAUUGGGAAACCGAUGAUCGAAUCUCGGGCAAGUAACGUACCGAUUGACAAAGGGAAUUGUAUACGGGGUUGCUUAAAUCCUCGACAUCGUGGUUCAUCCGAUGAGAUCAUCGAGGAGCAUGUGGGAGCCAACAUGGGUAUCCAGAUCCCGCUGAUGGUUAUUGACCGGAGAGCCAUCUCGGUCAUGUCUACGUGUCUCCCGAACCCGUAGGGUCUACACACUUAAGGUUCGGUGACGCUAGGGUUGUAGAGAUAUGAGUAUGCAGCAAACCGAAAGUUGUUUGGAGUCCCGGAUGAGAUCCUGGACGUCACGAGGAGUUCCGGAAUGGUUCAGAGGUAAAGAAUAAUAUAUAGGAAGUGCAGUUUCGGCCAUCGGGAGAGUUUCGGGGGUCACCGGUAUUGUACCGGGACCACCGAAAGGGUCCCGAGGGUCCACCGGGUGGGGCCACCUAUCCCGGAGGGCCCCGUGGGCUGAAGUGGGGAGGUGACCAGCCCCUGGUGGGCUGGUGCGCCCCCCCCCCCCGGGGCCCCCCUCUGCGCCUAGGGUUGGGAACCCUAGGGGAGGGCGCGCCUCCACUUGCCUUGGGGGGCACUCCACCCCCCUUGGCCGCCGCCCCCCUAGAGAUCCCAUCUCUAGGGCCGGCGCCCCCCUGGGGGCCUAUAUAAAGGAGGGGGGAGGGAGGGUAGCCGCACCCUGAAGUCUUGGCGCCUCCCUCUCCCCUGCUACACCUCUCCCUCUCGCAGAAGCUCUGCGAAGCUCUGCCAGAACUCUGUUGCAUCCACCACCACGCCGUCGUGCUGCUGGAUCUUCAUCAACCUCUCCCUCCUCCUUGCUGGAUCAAGGUGCGGGAGACGUCAUCCGCUCCUUACGUGUGUUGAACACGGAGGUGCUGUCCGUUCGGCACUUGUUCAUCGGUGAUUUGGAUCACGACGAGUACGACUCCCUCAACCCCGUUCUCUUGAACGCUUCCGCUCGCGAUCUACAUGGGUAUGUAGAUGCACUCCCCUAUCUCGUUGCUGGAUGAACUCAUAGAUUGAUCUUGGUGAACGUAGGAAAAUUUUAUUUUAUGCAACGUUCCCCAACAGAAACAUCAUGUGAUCCAACUAUAUUAACAAAGCCAAUGAUAUAGAUCACAAGAGAGACAAGAGAUCAAACACAUAGCUACUGGUCCAAACCCUCAGCCCCAAGGGUGGAGUACUCCCUCCUCAUCGUGGUGGCCGCCGGGAUGAUGAAGAUGGCCACCGGAGAUGAUUCCCCCCUCCGACAGGGUGCCGGAACGGGGUGUAGAUUGGAUCUCAUGGAUACAGAGGCCUUGCGAGGGCGAAACUUCUGAUCUAGGGCUGCCUCGAUGGGUUUUGGAAUAUUUGUGACUUUAUAGGGUAAAGAGGGGGUGUGGGAGGCCACCAAGGUGGGCACAACCCACAUGGGUGCGAUAGGCGGCCCUGGCGCGCCCUGGUGGGUUGUGCCCCCCUCGGGGCACCCCCAGGUGCAGCUCAGGCCCAUUGGGUUCCUUCUGGUCCAUAAAAAUCUCCAAAAAGUUACGCGGUGUUUGGACUCCAUUUUAUAUUGAUUUCCUAAAAUGUAAAAAACAAGCAAAAAAACAGCAACUUGCACUGGGCACUGGGUCAAUAGAUUAGUCCCAAAAAAUGAUAUAAAGUUGCUAUAAAAUGAUUGUAAAACAUCCAAGAAUGAUAAUAUAUUAGCAUGAAUACUUCAUAAAUUAUAGAUACAUUGGAGACGUAUCAACACUCAUAGUCAAAUAUGGGAAUUCUUAGAUUCUCAACUCCCAUUCAAUCCAUCCCCAUGAUAUAUGGACAAUCACCUCAUGUCACUCAAAUUUAGUUACUUGCAGCACAUGUUGUUUUAGGCGUCUUAACUGAAACUUGUAUUGUUUAAUUCAUAGAUGAAAUAUAUGAAAAUCUAAUUAACAAAAUACAAUUAUUCAGAAGAGAUGUGCAUCAGUGUGAGGCAUUGCUAUGGGUAGUGGCGGAGCUAGCAUUUGAGAACAGGGUGGUCCGCCCCCUAAAAAGAUUCAUAAGAAAUAUGACACGUGAAUGUUAUAACUAAUUACCAAUACCACAUAGAAAUAACUCAUAUGGUCUUACAAACACACUAAAAUUCUCAAUUAAUGCUAUUUGGGCCAAAAAUGAUGAGCAAAAUUACGCAUGUGUUCGGUUCAUCUACUGGAUAGCAUAGCACAUAAAAAACCCUAAAUCAGAAAUUGGGUAGGCAUACCUUAAGUCAGAAAUUGGGAAGGUUAGAAAAUACUAUGUUGCUUCCACCAGACUUGGGCACUCGAGCACUCGGGGGGCAGGGGGACCGUGCUACAGUCAUGCAGGACAGGGGCGCACACGCAUGCAGCUCGCAUGGAGGCGGGAAAGGAAGAAUGGAUCCUUCGCGGUGGCUGGGCUCCAAUAGGUGACCGGGAAGGGCGGCGAGCCAACGAUGGUGGGGGCAUCUGGCGUUGGGAAUCGGGAGUCAGGACGAGGUGGGUGAUUGCCUGGCUUGAUCUGGACGAGGGUGUGUUGUGUCUGUGCUCGGGGCAACAAGUAAGUGUUAUUGGGCCAAUUUUUCUUUCUGGCCCAGUAACAGAUCCAUAGGCUGAUUCAAAAUCUCAGGGUCGGCCAAGGUCCACCCUGGCCACCCUGUAAUGCAUCUGGUGUCCCGCAUAGCUACAAAACCUAUGAAUUCUCAAAAAAAGACACAAAGCCUAUGUUACGUCGAGCCCGCAAUUCCUUCCACUUCUUGCGUGGUAACUUCGGCGGGCAUUUAUCUCUUGCCCGUGUGCUCUUCCUCAGACUUCAUAUUUUGUGUUUGUUUAGCUAGCUUAUUUUUAGUGGCAUCCCUUCCAAGGGCCUUAAUCUCCUUCUUUCAUUCGGUUGCCAGUUUUUGCUCAACUAAAGGUGUGCAAGAGAUUUUUAAGAGCAAGGACUUUUCCAUGGAGACCAAUCAAGUUGGGUAUGAAAGUGAAGAAAACAGGAAGGACUCGAGACAUGGGAGUUGAUGGAAUUCAUUGUUUCACUCUUAAAAAAUAAUUCUUUAUUGUGUCUUCUUCUCCAUGUGCUCUUUCAAGAAGGCCUUCCACAUGUUCUUCUCUCAAUAAGAGUUGUAACGGAUGAUGUAAUGCCAGCUAUCAAAAUAGUUGGCCAAAAUAAUUCAAGUUCAUUGUCAUCAAUAAAUCCAUUGGAUUUCUUCUCAUUCUGAAUCAUCGACUUCACUUCCAUAGCAACUUGCUUUUCAACCUGAUCUAAAGAAGAAGAAAACGAGUUCUCCAGCACAUGUGCAAUCUCUAGAUCUAAAAGUUUCCAACGAUGGAUAACAAGGGUUUCUCUAAAAAAUCCUAAGAAAUGGCAUAAAAAUCGUGAGGAAUUGAUUAUUUGCAAAUAUCAUAAAAAUUCACAAUGUACUAUGAGAACAAUCUAUGUAUGUGUAGUCUGAGAAGCUUUUACUUCUCCAAGAUGGAAACAACGAGCUAUUCACACAUAAGAAAGUUAUACACUCAGAGCUAUAAUGAAGUAGAUUAGGCUUUACUAAUAGCUAAGAGCAAUGAGCUCAAUGACAGAAGUCCAGAACUACUUCUAGGUCUUGUAGUCUCAAGGGCAGGGGUGACAUUCAAAACUUCAUGAACUAUAGUGUGAAGUUUCUUACAUAGUUCACUAUGUACAUAGCUGCACAAAUUUGUACAUUCUCUAAGCUUCAUGAGAAAUCGCUAAUUUCUCUCGCGCUACUCUAUUGCAUCGAGCAGGUGUUUAAUUGAUAUUUUGAUAAACAAGAGUCUUAUCAGUUACAACACAAAAUGGUGGUGCUAUUUAUUGGAUAUGAUUUUUUAUUUUCUAAUAAGAGAGUGCUUUUGCACAUAACUACAUAAGCAUCACAAGGCACCUGAAGUAGAGCCAUGAUCAAAAUCUGUGUUCGGUUUAUUCCAAUAUCUAAAGAGAGCAACGAGAAUAACAAGAUUCCAAUCUCACUAUCAUCAUUGAAUUAAUAGCUUUUAGAGGAAUGAGAGGAUCAACCGGAUUACCUUCACAUUGCCAGCGACUGCAAAGUUCAUGUCAACUUCUUGCUUAAAUGGCGCUCUCUUCAUCAGUCUGCAAGAGAUGAACGUAUUUUGUAGAUUGAUUGCAUUGGCCAUUAUAUAAUACAAGAUUCAAUUUUUUCUCCAUAAGUCAGUACAACAAACUUAAAUGCAAGAUAAAAAAACUUCUAUCACAAAGAAAUAGAAAAUGAAGAUGCAUAUAUGAAUGAUGUCAAUUUUCAAUGCUAAGCUAGAAUAUUAUCAUAUCAGCAAAACAAAACUUCAACAUAUUCAUUCGGAAACUCAGGUAAGGGACAAAGUCUAAAUAUUUUAUCAACUUGAACAAGAUUGAAAACAAAUAACAAGAAAUAUAUGCACAAUACAAAAGUGUCUCUUACCAUGACAAGACCCAAUAUGUGUUCUCCUCUUUCUCAUUAUACCAGUGCAGAAAAUAUCACAAAUUUCUGAUCAAAACAACAUUGUUCUCCUUGCUUAGGGUUACCAUUAUCAAAAAAAGGACCUAUAUGCGUUGCACAUCAACAACCUGUACAUAAAAGACGUAACGAUGCUAGUAAAAAAGCACACCCAAAAUUUCAAUUUUUAACUGUCACUUACCAUAACACCAAUCAUGCACUCACCACUCUAGUUCAGUAAAUAAGUAAUAACCAUCCUGCUGGGCAGAAGUGUUUUAUAGAGCAUUUGGUGAGAACAUAAAGAGUGCAUGAUACUAAAACUAUGGUUGGCUUUAGAGGAUCCUGAAACUGAGUUGCAAGCAAAAGAAUGAGAAAUAAAUGAUACCUCUGUUUGGACUUUGAGCAACUUCAAUUUAUUGGGAGCUAAAGCUAGAGGUGCAUCUUUUCCUGUGUGGGGCAAUGGAGAGGAAGAUGUGCAGUUCAAUCACGCCGAGGGAACUGUGGCAGUGCCUGGUCAGAUCCGAAAGAACAUAGAGAAUAAAAAGGAACAAGCCACAACCAAAGCACACAGAAACCUACUUUGAGAACCUCGUCAUCUAUGCCUAUUUGCACUACCGUGACAUGUGUAGCGCGGCGGUCCUUCCUUCUCGGAUCGCCAAGGAACAAGCUCCCUCUCCCGAACUAUUUGCCGCUGCGCCCCAACGCUUCUUCGCCCAAUCACCACCAUGCUGCUCCUCUCCUCCCGCUGAUGUCGCUAGGCCGAGGGACACACUCGGCGGCGUGCAGCGGAUAGGAGGCAGGGCACGUGGGGAAGUUGAUGGAAAGGGGGCAUGCACUAGAGAAGUCAGAGUCGAGCAGCCACCGAGAUUGUUUGGGAGAGAGAAAGAGAAUCUAACGAAUGAUGGGGACCGCGAGAUCAGGGGAGAUUAAGCUCUUAUAUUUCUGAUUUUGGGGUUGAUUUGUUUCCAUGUGAGUUGGGCUUGCGUUGACCAAAUCAGUGGAGGGUGGGGCUGGCUAUUCCUUCCAUCAGUCGAUGGGUUACCCAACUGCAUCUUCAGAAGUAGAGAUAAAUGAUUUUUUAUCGGAGAGAUUAUUGAUGUUUUGGUGAGUAAUGAUUUGAUUUGAACCGGUUAAUGUAUGGCGUUGUUUUGGGAAGGUGUUGAUCUAAUUGAGUUAAUGCACGUGUCAAAUGGGAUGGCCCAAGUAGGCCGCUGUGAUGGGACAUGAAAGGAAAGCGAAAGAUAGAAGUGGUGGGAUGAGGUGGGAGUGAGGCGAGACUACCAACUCAAACAUUAGGAGUAGAGACUAGGACUCCUUCCUUUUUUGCCUUCCCUAGUCACAUGGGCUUUUGAGGACUUGGUACGCCUAGCCCAAUAAGGCCAGGGUGCCUCCCCGCAGUCCAUGCUAGCCCUUGGGUCAUGGUGAACCCACUUGUGGACUUCCAGACCCCUCCGGAAUCCUCCGGAACCUUCUCAAAGCUUCCCGGUACAAUACCGGGAAAACUUCACCUUUUUCCGGAACCCAAAAUAUAACUUCCCAUAUAUAAAACUUUACCUCUCGGCCAUUCCGAGACUCCUCGUGAUGUCCGGGAUCUCAUUUGGGACUCCGAACAACAUUUGGUUACUGCUCAUCAAAUAUCCCAAUACUAUUCUAGCGUCAACGAACGUUAAGCGUGCAACCCUACGGGUUCGGGAAUUAUGUAGUCAUGACCAAGACACCUCUCCGGUCAAUAACCAAUAGCAGGACCUGGAUGCUCAUAUUGAUUCCUACAUAUUCCACGAAGAUCUUUUAUCGGUAGAACCUUUAUGACAACAUACAUAUUUCCCUUUGUCUGACGAUAUGUUACUUACCCGAGAGUCGAUCGUUGGUAUCCCUAUACCUAGUUCAAUCUCGUUACCAGCAAGUCUCUUUACUCGUUCUGUAAUACAUCAUCUUGCAACUAACUCCUUAGUCACUUUGCUUGCACGCUUCUUGUGAUGUGCAUUAACGAGAGGGCCUAGAGAUACCUCUCCGAUACACGGAGUGGCAAAUCCAAAUCUCGAUUCACACCAACUCAAUAGACACCUUCAGAGAUACCUGUAGAGCAUCUUUAUGAUCACCCAGUUAUGUUGUGAUGUUUGAUAUCACACAAGGUAUUCCUGUGGUAUUCGGGAGUUGCAUGAUCUCAUGGUCGAAGGAAUAUGUAUUUGACAUUAAGAAAGCAGUAGCAAUAAACUAAACGAUCAUAUGCUAUGCUAACGGUUGGGUCUUGUCCAUCACAUCAUUCUCCUAAUGAUGUGAUCCCGUUAUCAAAUGACAACUCAUGUCUAUGGUUAGGAAACCUUAACCAUCUUUGAUCAAUGAGCUAGUCUAGUAGAGGCUCACUAGGGACACGGUGUUGUAUAUGUAUCCACACAUGUAUAUGAGUUUCCGAUCAAUACAAUUCUAGCAUGGAUAAUGGAUGUUUAUCAUGAAGAGGGAAAUAUGAUAAUAACCAAUUUAUUAUUGCCUCUCAGGCAUAUUUCCAACACUUACCCUUCUAUGAAUCCAGGUUUACGAGUCAUGCAACUUGGGGCCUACUGAGAGGGCAAGUGAACCCGCGGAGGGGCGUCAAGCUUGUCAAAUAAAUAUCAUGAAGAAGACUUCAGUCGGGUGUUUAACAUGGCCGAGUGCAUAGGUCCCUGCAGGAGGGUGGUCAGUCGGGAUGACAUGCAUCCCUUAGGAAAGGGAUCGUGGGUAAUCAAUUGGAUUGACUCAUCCAGAAAAUCUCGGGAUUUGAAUUCGCGCGUUCGCGCGCAGAAGAGGUAAUGUCAUGCACUAGUGGGGAAAGUGGGGGUGUGGCUCCUCGAUUCAUGCACAUGACGCCCGCCACAUCCCGCUAGCUCUGCAUGAUGUCUCAUUGCACGGGCUGUCGAUCCAGAGAUCAGCGACGUGAGAUUUGGCCCGCGAUUUGCCUCAAUGAUAUAAAAGAUUUGGGGGUGGAGGUCGGGACCCCGAUCGCCUUUCUCUCGCUCUGACUCCUCUCCUUCCUUUCACCCCUCUAGUGCGCAAUGAUGGCAAGGGACUCUACGGCCAAGGCAGGGAAAGCGAAGAAAGAUGGAAAGGCUACCUCCUCCGGCUCUGAUGCCGCGGUCGGCAGCGCGGCGGGGAACUGGAUCCCAUCGUGCGUUUUGGCUCGGCGGUUGGAGGAGCUCACGGAAGAGGAGCUGAUUCUGCAUGAAGGGUGGCAUCGCCUGGGCGUGGGGGAGGUCGAGCCGGCGCCUCAGGAGGACGAGCGCGUCUGCCUCAUCAUCCACAUCGAGCGGGGCUUCUCGAUGCCUCCUCAUCCUUUUUUCCGAGUGUUCCUCGACUACUUUGGCAUGCAACUCCAUCAUCUUACCCCCAACGCCAUCAUUUAUCUUUCGGCCUUCAUCUCUCUCUGUGAAAACUUCUUGGGUUGCCAUCCUCAUUAGGUCCUCUUCAAAUACAUCUUCACCUGUCGGUCGAUGACUGUCAAGAAGGACUCGCCGACUGGUGAGAAAACCAAUGUUACCUAGCUAUGCGGGGGCCUGGGCAUCCAGGUUCAUGGGGGGAGGUCCUUCCCAAAGAUGAGCUUUCCUGACUCUAUCAAGGGGUGGCAAUGAAUUCCCGGCACCAACAAUCAGUCGGGCCUCCCGCCGUAUUUGUCCGAGAGGGUAAGAGCCCAUGCGUCCCUUUCCAUGGUGAAGGAGGAGAAGGUGGGUGUCGAUGUCUUGUCUAGUGCGUUAAUCAGAGUUGUCAAUGCUGGAGUAAACAACAUAGAUUUGCUGGAGACUUUCUUCACUCGGUGCAUUCAACCACUCCAAGCCAGGGCUCAUCCCAUGUGGAUGUACGAGGGGUCAAGUGACCCCACCCGGGUGCACCCUGAGGAGCUCAGCGAGAAGGAGGUGGGGGCCAAGAUCAAGGCCAUCACCUGUGCUCGGGACAACCCGUCGGGGGCUCGGUCGGUGCCAACCUUCCACAAGGACUUCCCUCCCAUGGAGGUAAUCAUUUGCCGCUCAAUCGGCUUGGUCAUAUGCUACCUCUUGUAUAGUUGAUCCUUGUUUUGUAUGUGUUUGCCUUUUAGGACUCUCAAAACUUGACAUCUAGGAUCCCGAUGGUGGACCGGUCGCCCAAAGACGUGACGAGUGACUCCGAGCAGUAGUACUCAGAGGAAUCCGAUGAUGACGAGAGUGAUGAUGAGGAGGGAAGCAACAAGGAGGAGAGAUCUCAGGAGGAGGANNNNNNNNNNNNNNNNNNNNNNNNNNNNNNNNNNNNNNNNNNNNNNNNNNNNNNNNNNNNNNNNNNNNNNNNNNNNNNNNNNNNNNNNNNNNNNNNNNNNNNNNNNNNNNNNNNNNNNNNNNNNNNNNNNNNNNNNNNNNNNNNNNNNNNNNNNNNNNNNNNNNNNNNNNNNNNNNNNNNNNNNNNNNNNNNNNNNNNNNNNNNNNNNNNNNNNNNNNNNNNNNNNNNNNNNNNNNNNNNNNNNNNNNNNNNNNNNNNNNNNNNNNNNNNNNNNNNNNNNNNNNNNNNNNNNNNNNNNNNNNNNNNNNNNNNNNNNNNNNNNNNNNNNNNNNNNNNNNNNNNNNNNNNNNNNNNNNNNNNNNNNNNNNNNNNNNNNNNNNNNNNNNNNNNNNNNNNNNNNNNNNNNNNNNNNNNNNNNNNNNNNNNNNNNNNNNNNNNNNNNNNNCUUAUGAGGCUCCCAAGGAGCCCCAUUCGAAGGCGCCGCAUGAUCCAAAGUGCAAGGCGGGUAGGGUUCAGCCACUGACCGCAUCUAGUUGGACGACUCAGAGCUCCAAGGAUGCUCGUGCGAAGGCUGAGAGCUCGGCAGAGAAGCAACCCAAGUUCUCGAAGUAGAUCUCCUCCAAGCCCCGGAAGGUCGCAGUGCCUCGGAUCAAGGUGGCAGUACCUGUGACCUCAACGUGAGUUCUCUCGUCAAUCCCUUGUUUGUUUUUAUGUUGAUUCAGUUGUUGACCGAGUGUUCUUUGACCUCCUUAGCAAUGACACGUUGACAACUUUGGCGGAUCCACAAGCUCGUAAGCCGGGCCCGAGUGAUGCUGAUGCGGGAGAUGCUGCCACUUCCAAAGGUAUGCCUCAUCGACUGAUUCAGAUGGUGAGGUCUUCUUUUAGCUGAACUCCAAUGAUUUCUUUGGUCCAUGUAUUCAUGCAGCUCCACCCGAGAUCAUUCAGCUGGAUGACGAUGAGAGGACGAACCCACCCAAUCUGGGGGCCAUCAGGGAGGACAUGCCAAAUGUUGACGCGUCGAUGCCGGACGCAUCGCCUCGCUGAAUGACCCGCAUUUCUUCGGUGAAGGCCGUUGGAAGGGCCGCAGGCCUGAGUCCUCUGGCUCCUGGUGGCUCAACACAUUCGACCGUACUGGUACUACCCUCAGGAUCUACCUCGACUCCUCCGAGUGGAUCGUCAGUGGUUCCGGCUCCGAGGCAUGCGUCCAUGUCUCCAUCGUCCCCAGCUACCUCCUUCCCCCUGUACCAUGUCCCUGAAUAUCAAGUGGGAUGAGCAAUGAGCCUCUGAUCCAGGUGGGAUCGAUGUACGACCGGCUGAAGGAAGCUUACGAGGCCAGCGCGGUGCUGCAGAUCAACGUCCGAGUAAGUACCACUGUGAGUAUAAAUUGCAGUCAAAGUUUUUCUUUUUCCUUUGGUAGAAAUUUUGUCUGUGGGUUUUCACAGGGAAUACCCAGUGGGUAUUCAUGAUCCCAUGGGGGCACGUUGACUGCACCCUCUGGGUGUAGUCCCUGAGGCUCUUGUCGAUUGGAAUCAGUCAGCAGGAGUCUUUUUAGCUUUUUGUGUGUUUUUGUGUACACUCAGAGUCUAGCGGGAGCGUAUCCGAGUGGACAUCAUUCAAUGGGGCACACUAAGUGUACCCACUGGGUGUAGUCCCCGAGGCUACCAUUCACUGGAGCAGCAGGUGGUAGUCUUAGAACUUGUGGAUGUUUUGCCUUGAGGCUGUUUGUCGUCCCUUUUUUUAAGCUCAUCGACGAGUCAUUUUCCAGUGGGGGCACACUGAGUGCACCCAAUAGGUGUAGUACCCGAGGCUACCAUUGACUGGAGCAGUCGGUGGUAGUCUUAGAACUUGUGGACAUUUCGCCUUGAGGCUAUUUGUCGCCCCCCCCCCCUUUUUUUAAGCUCGUCGACAAGUCAUUUUCCAAUGGGGCCACGCUGAGUGCACCCACUAGGUGUAGUCCUCGAGACUGCUGGCGAUUGCGAGCAAUUGGUGGCGAUCUUCAGAAGGGUUGCUAGGCAUUCAGGACGCUCGUGCAUUGGUGAGAUAAUUGGUAGGAUCUUCUUCAUUGCCAACUCGGAGGUUAGCUUAAUGAAGCAGAUUGUCUUGUGUCGUUGUCUUCUAUCCACUUCAUCGCCGACUCGAGAGCCAGAUGAUAGAGGGUAGAUCAGAGGGUAUUUCAGGAUCUAGUAUUGAUCAAGCUUGAUCUUCCUGGGGAUGCUUGGCUGACCCAGUACUUGAGAAUUUGGUAUUGGUCAAGCUUGUUCCUCUUUGGGGGGGCAUGACCGAGUGGGAAGCCCAAGGGUACUUCAAGAUCUGGUACUGAUCCAGCAUGCUCCACUUGGCAGCACGCGGCCGACUAGGUAGUCAGGGGGUACUUCAGGAUCUGAUACUUAUCAAGUUUGUUCCAUUUUGGCACCAUGCAGCCGACUCUGUAGUCAAAGGGUACUUUAGGGUCUGGUACUGGUCUAACUUGUUCCCUCCAACCAUGCUUCAUCCGUAUGUUUGCGAGUUAUUGCAUGGGUGUCGGUGUCAAAACCGGCGGAUCUCGGGUAGGGGGUCCCGAACUGUGUGUCUUAGGAUCAAUGGUAACAGGAGACAAGGGACACGAUGUUUUACCCACGUUCGGGCCCUCUUGAUGGAGGUAAAACCCUACGUCCUGCUUGAUUGAUAUUGAUGAUAUGGGUAGUACAAGAGUUGAUCUACCACGAGAUCAGAGAGGCUAAACCCUAGAAGCUAUCCUAUGGUAUGAUUGUUGUAUCUCUUUAUCGACUAGCCUAGCCUCGGUUUAUAUAAUGCACCGGAGGCCUAGGAUAACAAGAGUCCUAGCCGAAUACGCCGGUGGGGGAGGAGUCCUUGUCUUGAUCGCCAAGUCUUGUAGAAUCUUCCUUGUAUGCGGCACCUGUCCGGACUGUCCCAUGAGUAUACGGCCAUGGGGAUCCUCGGCCCAAUCCACCUGAUCGGGAGACGACGUGGUGAGUACCCCCUAGUCCAGGACACCGUCAGUAGCCCCCUGAACCGGUCUUCAAGUUAGGGACGCUCCUCAAUUCUUCUGAACUAUUCUUCAUCUUCGGUCGUCGGUCUUGAAAACUGGUUCAACAAAUCUACUCAUCUUCGAUCUUGAGGAUCGCCGAAAUGCAUUCGACGAGUUUACACGUCGGGUAUCCGAGGAGCCCCUUUAAGUUUCCGGCCUUUAUCAAUGCCUUGUUAUUUUUAUGCCACACCUCGGUUUUGAAGUUAUUCCCGGGCGGCAACGUCCUCUUGCAUCCGAGCUCCAACGCCGGACUGCAUUCAAGGUGUCUUUUGCAGCCAAGCACCAAUGCCGGACUGCUUCCCAGCUCUAACGCUGGACUAUGUAUCCGAGCUCCAACGCCAGACGGUAUCCGGGCUCCAACAUCGGAUUAUGUAUGCGGGCUCCAACGCCGGAUUAUGUAUCCAAGCUCCAACGCCGGACUGUAUCCGAGGUGUCGUAAAUCACCUUGGUUCAAAGAAGUUUGAAGGAGUUUAGCCGAGCUUAAUGCCGGAAAUGCCCUCUAUGGAGCCAGCCACUAGCGCCCGAGCUUUAUGCCGGACUGCUUCCGAGGUGGUGCACCACCCCGAAUGUGGGCCGAUUUUUGUCAAUAUUUUUUAUUGGUGCCAGUAGCCCUCAAGGUGGGUAUUGGUCUAAAACCCGAGAUGCACAUGAAGGAUGACAUAACACCGCUGAUCCCCGUAGCCGCUGAGACUCAGGUUGAUUUGCAAAAUCGGUCUGAGGAUCAAGUCCUAGCUCGGCAGAAUACUUCGGGACACAAAAAGCGGCGUGCUCAGUCCUCGAGACUCAGGUUGGGUGCGGCCAACCAACCUGAGGAUCAAAAUCUUCUCGGAAACUGUAUGGCACUUAAAAUUUUCUGCAUAGAACAGGCAAUGCAGUAGCCCCCGAGACACUGGUCGGGUGGCAAUACCAGAUCAGGGGAUCGAUGCGCCCCUUUAAUAUUUGUAAAUAAUAAGCCCGAAGCCCAGUAGCCCCCGAGCCUUAAUGCGGGCACGGGAGGCCGAAUUAAGGAUCGAUGUCCAUAGUAAAAUGACAAAUUAUGUGUAAUGACUCUAUGUAUCCAAGUACUUUACGUCAUUAAUGCUCGGAUCCGCAUUGUACAAAACUUUGUUGACCGACCAUCAGCUUCCACCUCCUCGGCCAAUAGCCGAGGAGUGUUUAUCCUACUUUAUAAAGCCUUUAUGAGGGCAAAGAUUGACAACAAACAAGGCAAUCUGGCCACAUGGUUUUAUAAACAAAGGUACGCGGAGAGACAUGUUAUAUUACUGUUUAACAGAAGAAAUGUCUUCCAAAGAAAAUAGUCCCGCUAUCGGUUCCUUUCUUUGGGUUGUCAUGCUAAGCAUGAUCAUGAAACCUCAGCUCCAAUGUAAGAGCAAGAUAUCGAGGAUUUAGUUUGGGAGGCCAGUUAAUAGCCCCCGGUAGUGUUCGGCGACAGUCGAGGUCAAGCCGUAAACACUUCGGCCAUUGUUAUGAAUGGCCCGUCGUUUAACACCGUCAUCGGAUCACCGACCAGUUUGCGCUUAUUGUGACAGUCAGUUUUCGGCUUUCUCCACUGAGGUGCUUAACCAUGUGACCUGGAAGCACAAUCGCAGUGGUUCUCCCUUUGCACACCUAGCCGAACAAAGUGGAACAUAGGAGGCAAGCGCAGGAGCCGGGCAACCCAACUAUUGACCGAAGACACAAUUCGAAACCGAUGCAUAUAUAGCAAUAUCUGAGAAUGUUUUUGCCGAAGCUCUAAAGAUGUCCGGCGUUGCACUGCGAGACUUGUGCUGAAAACACACAAAUAGUUUAAAAGUGCCAUAAGCUUGGAAAACCAAGAAACUUAUUCAAAAGGUUAAUGUCCGAACUAGAUCAAGUGUUCGGUGCCAAUCUGAAAAUUGGACUUUAGAAAAAAAAUGCUUCUGCCAUGCUUUAACAUGACACAUCCUAUCUCAAAACUUCAAGCGGGUCAGCCUACGGCUUCAACCUCCUAUCCCAAAGGCGGAGUACUUCUUACACUAGGCUAGUUUAACAAACUAAACUCUAGCGGCUUUGAGAGAGAAAUUAGGCUCCCCGGCUAGUGACCGCACACUUGUGUCGAAGAAAGGAGUGAUAAAUAAGAAUAAUAAUAACAAUAAUAAAACUUUGCAACGACUAAGAAGAAAAACACUUAGUAGGAAACGGCUCAAAUAAACAUAAGAGCCCCCAAGUCACUUGGGUAAAAGUUGACUAUAUAAUGUAAGGUGACAUGUAGAAUGCCUUCUAGCUGGAUUCUAGAUCGUUUGUCGUAGCGGACCUUUUCGCUUCAACCUCUGGACCCAAUAGUCUGGAGUGUGUCCGAAUACCCUUGCGAUUAUAAAAACCAGGGCAUGCGUGGAGACCAGGCGUAGGGGUCAUUAGUGCUUUAUCAGACAAGUGCCCAACUAGUUAUGUUAUAUUACAUGGUUAGUAAGAAACAUCUUCCAGGGAGAAUAGUUCCGUUAGGGGUUCUUUUCCCUGGGAGGCAUGCCCUAAAGUGCAUGUCCGGUCUGCGAAAAGAGCAGAAAAACAUCUGGGGGCAAGUAAAUAAAUAGGUAAGAAAUCAUCUUUUGGUUCACCGACCGAGUAUUCCCUUAAGAACGCUAGCUUUCGGCUUCACCCAGUCUGAGGUACACAUCCGGCUGACCCGGCAGUAACAAUCGCAGAGGUGCUCCCUUUACCACCUAGCUGAACAAUCGGGAACGUAGGGGUAAGCACAGGAGCCAGGCAACCCAGCUUGGCCAAAACAUAAGUCAUAUCGAUGCAUAUAAUGGUGGAUAAAAGGUACAUGCGGAAGUGUGACGCAUGUGUUGGGCAUAAAGCCCGAAUUAAUAAGCUUCUGUUAAAGAAGCCCCCAGGUAUAAUGAGCGCGGGUAGCGCGUCAAGUGUGUGCGAACAAAGUUUCGACAAGGAAAAUUUUACAAGCAACUUUUUUUUAAAAGAGUAUAAUGCUUGGUCGAGCCAAACACAAAAAAUUUAAAACCUUGAGCAUGAAGGCAACUUAGCUGGUUAAUGUGUUCGGUAUUGAUGACGCGGUCAAUGAUGGCGGAGCAAAGGGCUCGGCACUCCGGAGUGGUGACAUAGCACGGUCAAUGCAGUAUGGCAGGGUGAUGCCGAAGUCCCCGGCAUGGGGUAAUGAAGUGUUGACGAAGCCCCCUGUCCAGCCGAGGUGGCGCCAAAGGAUAUAGUCCGGCUGGAUCAUUUUCCUGAUUUAUUUGUUGUGGUGGUUCGAAGAAAGGUUACUCCCAAGAUUGGGACUCGAUCCGCACACCCAUUGCCUGAUGGGUGAUGAAGCGAAGGCAUGGCGAUGCUCGCAAAGGUUGGCUCGCCGAGGCAAAGCCCUCGGUCUAGCUAACGUGACGUAGCCGGUCGGCCAGCGACGCCAAAGUUUCCGGAGUAGGUUGAUGAAGAGAUGGUGAAGCCCCCAGUCCAGGCGAGGAGACGGAGCAGGUCGGUGAGGAGAUGUGUCAGCCGAGGUGUUGAAGUAGUUCGGCGUGAUGGACACCGACUCGAUGAAGCAACAGUGCGGCCCUGCCGAUGCAGGUCGUGACGUGGUCAAUGCCGGCUUGAUGAAGUGAUCGUGCGGUGAUGUAGGUGUCCCCGCUCCGUGUAAUCCGUGGGGCGGUGAUUUUGGUGAUGAUUUAUCCUUCGCGAUGCCGAACUAUUGUUCGGCUGGCCGAGAUGAUGAUCCGAAGAAAUUGAGCUCGGCUCAACAAAGCGACGACAUGUCUAACGCAGGUCGGCCGCCAUGGAGUGAUGUUGUCGGGCUGGUUUGACACCGGGGUGAUGGCAAAGUUUGUAUUGCGAGAGUACUUUUAAUACUACUGGGAUGUGUUUGAGAAUAAAACACAACACCCCAUACGAAAACUUCCUUCAAAAAGGACGUCCGAGAUCCCGUUCAUAAAGAAGAUGAAUUCAGGUCGGAUUCGUUCUCGCGCAGAAAGUAGAUCCAAAAAGUGAUGCACUAAUCGGAAGUUUCCCGGAGUUUGGACGGUCGGAUCGAGCUGAAUUUUUGGCAGGUGGUAGAUAUGGGAAUUCCGCAGCAAAUCAACGGUUGGAUCUUCCAAAGGACAUCUGAGCUAGAUGCUCGAUACCACGCCCUAAACUCGUCCGGAUUCUCGUCCAGAUUCAACAGGGCUCCGGUAUAUCGGAGAUUGCCGGAGAUUCCCCCAUUGGAACUCGACGAAAUUUUUGCAGGGUUGUUGUGGACUUAAUUCCGCAUAAUUCCACAAAAGUAAUCGUUUAGGCGACACUCGAGGAGGCGGUGGCAGAGGAUACAAGUUUGCUGUCCAGAAAAACAGCACGGUCGCCUGAGGGCAAUGUUGACGUUGAGCCCCCGAGCUCCAUGGAUGACUCCUUGAUGAUCUUGAUAGAGAUCGGAGUUGGUGUUAAUGAAGGUCCUCAUACGAACAUGACGAUCGGAGGUAGGGCGCAGUCCUCGGUCAAGCCAAGGUGACCAGUCGAGCUGGUGACGAAGAAGCUGACGUCGCAGUUGACCUGCAGUCGAGCCAUUGAUCCUUUCGUCGAUCACACAAUGGAACUCUCAAUGAAAGCACCAAUGUCGGUGUCAAAACCGGCGGAUCUCGGGUAGGGGGUCCCGAACUGUGCGUCUUAGGAUCAAUGGUAACAGGAGACAAAGGACACGAUGUUUUACCCACGUUCGGGCCCUCUUGAUGGAGGUAAAACCCUACGUCCUGCUUGAUUGAUAUUGAUGAUAUGGAUAGUACAAGAGUUGAUCUACCACGUGAUCAGAGAGGCUAAACCCUAGAAGCUAGCCUAUGGUAUGAUUGUUGUAUCUCUUUAUCGACUAGCCUAGCCUCGGUUUAUAUAAUGCACCGGAGGCCUAGGAUAACAAGAGUCCUAGCCGAAUACGCCGGUGGGGGAGGAGUCCUUGUCUUGAUCGCCAAGUCUUGUAGAAUCUUCCUUGUAUGCGGCACCUGUCCGGACUGUCCCAUGAGUAUACGGCCAUGGGGAUCCUCGGCCCAAUCCACCUGAUCGGGAGACGACGUGGUGAGUACCCCCUAGUCCAGGACACCGUCAAUGGGUUUCUCUUUUUUUGGUCUUCCGACUGAUUGUUUCUUGCAUGUUGCAGAGGACUUAUGAGUUGGGAUCCCACUAUGCCGCGAUGGAGAAGGAGGUGAUAACCCUUCGACUUGAUCUGGAGGCUGAGAAGCUCAAGAGCACCCGACUGGAGAAGGAAAAGAAGGCCUUGGGAGGUAAGUUAUUUCCCCCAUUUGGUAGUGUCAUACUAUUUUUCUCUUUCAAUCAGAGUCAUUCUGCUCAGGCAGAUGUUCUUAGCGAGAACACCCAACUCGUAAUGAGGCUCAGGACUUCUAUUUCUUCAGAAACCAUGAAGUAGGCUCUGGAGAACAAAGACAAGGAUUUGGCGUUGGCCCAGAAGGAAGCAAGGACCAAGACCAAGCUUGCCGACGAGAAGCUAGCUUCAAUCGACAAGUUGGAGGAGGAGAUCAAGGACCUCAAGGUUGUCGUUACUGUCUUCACUCGGGAGAAACAGAUGUUGGAGGAGAGGGUCACGCAGUUAACUAAAAAGAAGAAUGCCCUGGGAGCACAUAUUGAGGAGGUUUGCAAGGAGUUUAGCCAGAAGCUUGCAAGUAAGUUCUUCCUCGAUCGAGUGAAAUCCAAAUGCCACCGAAUCAUCCUCAAUCAUUCGCUCAUGGACUGUCUUCUUUUAACCAGAGCAUUGCUACAACAAAAAGCUGGAACUGGAAAGCCUUGAGAGGGAUCUGGAUCCUUCUAGGUCACUCGUCGCUGACAAAGCGGCCCUCGCCAUCCUCCGGCUGGAAGUCUUUUGGAGAAUGUGUUGGGCUAUAUCACUCGGGCAAGGGGAUCUUUCGGAUUGAUAAGGAGCUGCAACCCGACAAGGAGACUCAGAUGGACUUGGAGUGUGUCAUGACGCGGUUGAACGAAGUCCCUGCCUGGGUGAAGGCUUGGAAGAAGUCAGCUGCUCAGAGCGGUGCUGAUGUGGCGUUGUCACUCAUUCGCGUUCAUUGCAAGAACGUAGACGAGGAGAAGCUGAAGAGACUUUGAGUGAUGAACAAGAAGAACCUCAAGUUUGAGGAUUUCAUGGAGACCUUCGCUGAAGCUGCCACCCACAUCGCCGACGGGAUCGACCUGGAGACCUUCGCCGACCCAGCUGGCCCUCCGCUUGAAGCUUGAAACACUUGGUUAAAUUUGCCCUGGAAUGUCGGGUGGUUGAUGUAAUCGAAUAUUUCGUCGAGCCUUGGGCUCGUUUUACUUUUGCCUGAAACAUUCGGAUGGAUCAAACACUUGAUUUGUGCUCCUUCGAGAGUUUAUUUGCUCAGUAUGCUUUUGUUUGACUUGGAUGAAAGCUGGUUUUCACAACUAAGCCCCCGAGUGUGGAGAAGGUCUUCACUUGGAUUGUUUUUAAACAUAGGCAAAAGCUAGUUCGCGACUAAGCCCCCGAGUGUGGAGUAGAUCCUCACUCGGAUUGUUUAUUAACUUAUGCAAAAGCUAGUUCGUAGCUAAGCUCGUGACUGUGGAGCAGAUCCUCACUCGGAUUUUUUUUAACUUAGGCGAAAGCCUUCUCCUAUCUACACCCACUGGAGGAGUGUUAGUUUUUGAAUGCGGUUAGUCACCUGAGUGAAAAUGCGACCGUAGGUCGAACUAGAUGAUAUAUGAGAAAAGUAAGACUUUUAUUCAAUUAAGUUCAUUCAGACUAACUAUUACAGAGGAGAAAUUUUAUUUUAUGUAUAAAACUUGUGGAGCAAAUCUGCGUUCCAAGCUCUGGGCUCUUCUGUUCCUUUGGCAAAGUUGUAAAGUUGGUAUGCUCCAUUAUGCGGGACCUUCAAAAUGGCGAAUGGCCCUUCCCAAGAGGGCACCAGCUUGUGAGGCUUCUGUUGGUCCACUCGGAGGACCAGGUCUCCCUCCUGGAUGGCGCGUCCUCUGACAUGCCUAUUGUCGUAGAGACGCAAGUCUUGUUGGUACAACGUUGAUCUUAUAAGCGCUAGCUCACGCUCCUCCUCCAGGAGGUCAAGGCCCUCCUGUCUUGACUCUUUGGCUUCGGCCUCCGAGUAAAGAUCCACUCGAGGGGAAUUGUGGGGCAAGUCACUCGGAAAAACUGCUUCUGACCUGUACACCAUGAAGAACAGGGUGCGACUGGUGGAUCAGUUCGGGGUCGUCCGCAGACGCAGAGGACUGACGGCAGCUCGGUCACCCAUGCCCCUGCCACGUGGGUUAGGUCGCGCAUGAGGAGGGGUUUCAAUCCUUGGAGUAUGAGUCCAUUCGCCCGCUCGGCUUGCCCAUUCGACUGCGGGUGCGCCCCAGAGGCAUAAUCGAUCUGAGUGCCUUGGGUGUAGCAGAACUCAUGAAACUCGUGUGAGUCAAAGUUAGACCCGUUGUCGAUGAUGAUGAUGUGAGGGACUCCAAAUCUGAAGAUUAUCUCUCUGACGAACUGAACAGCGAUGGCUGAGUCCAGCUUCUUUAUUGACUUGGCUUCGAUCCACUUGGUGAACUUAUCGACUGCCACCAGCAGGUGCGUGAAACCACUCGCACCCGUUCGGAGUGGGCCGACCAUGUCGAGACCCUAGACGGCGAAUGACCAAGUGAGGGUAAUAGUCUUCAGAGCGGAUGUCGGCUUGUGCGACUGAUUCGCGUAGAACUGGCACCCGACUUAAUGAUCAACUAUAUCUCAGGCGGCUUCAUUGGCUCGGGGCUAGUAGAACCCAGCUCUAAAUACUUUGGUGACCAAGGUCCAAGAGGAUGCAUGAUGUCCACACGUUCCCGAGUGAAUAUCCUGUAGAAUUUUUUGUCCUUCCUCCGGCGAUGUGCAUCGCUGAGUGACCCCGGUGGUGCUUUGCUUGUAAACCUGAUCUCCCAUGACUGUGAAGGCUUUGGAUCGGCGGGCGAUUUGACGGGCCUCAGCUUCAUCUUUUAGGAUCUCUUGCGUGAGCAGGUACGCCAGAUAUGGCUCUGUCCAUUCGGGAGUGAUAACGAGGAUUUCCUGGACCAAGUCGAUUAAUGCAAGGACGUCAACUUCAUUCGGAUUGGAUGGGCCGACUAGUUGUGGGGGCUCCUCCAUGAAAGGGUCUACCUUGAUCGUGGGCGAAUGUAGGUGCCCCAGGAACAUGUUGUUGGGUACCGCUUUCCGAGUGGAACCCAUCUUGGCCAAAUCGUCAACUGCUUGGUUCUUGAGGCGUGGAACGUGAUGGAGUUCCAACCCUUCAAAGUGCUUCUCUGGUUUUCUGAUGGUGUUCCAGUAGCCAGUCAUCACCGGACUGCAGAUAUCCUACUCUUUCAUGACUUGGUUGACCACUAGACCCAAGUCACCAUAGACCAUCAGUUGGCGAAUUCCUAGAGAAAUUGCCAUUUGUAGCCCAUAUAGGAUAGCUUCGUAUUCGGCUCCUUUAUUGGAGGAGUCGGAGUGAAUCUGAAGCACAUAACUUAAUCGGUGGCCUUUAGGAGACAGCAAGACCACUCCGGCCCCGGAGCCGUGAAGCAUCUUGGAGCCGUCAAAGAACAUCGUCCAGUGUUCGGGAACAGUCGGGACAGGUUCUUCUUGCUCAAUCCAUUCGGCAAGGAAAUCUACCAGGGCUUGUGACUUCAUGGCUUUCUUGGCUUCAAACUUGAUGUCCAGCAGAAGCAGAUCGAUGGCCCACUUAGCCACUCAGGAAGUGGCAUCUCUGUCGUUCAUGAUCUCCAACAGAGGGGCGUCACUUAUCACUAUGACCAAGUGUUCCUGGAAGUAGUGCGUCACCUUCUUUGCAGUUAGGUAGAUUCCAUAUACUAGCUUCUGAUAAUGCAGAUAUCUUUGCUUGGAAAGGGUCAGGACUUCAGAGAUGUAGUAGACGGGUCAUUGGAGCUUGAAGGUUUUGCCUUGUUCUUCUCAUUCCACAGUGAGAACUGUGCUAACAACUCGGCCCGUGGCCGGAUGUAUAAGAGCAAAGGCUCUUUGCUGCUCGGAGCAGCUAGCACCGGCUAGGUGGAAAGCAGGGCUUUAAGUUCCUGGAACGCAACUUGCUCACGGGAGUCCACUCGAACUUGUCAGACUUCUUCAUCGAUCGGUAAAGUGACAUGGCCUUUUCACCGAGUCUUGAGAUGAAUCUGCUCAGGGCAGCCUAGCAGCCUGUGAGGCGCUGAACGUCGUGUAGACGCUCUAGUUGCUUCAUUUGGAUGAUGGCACCGAUCUUCUCAGGAUUAGCGAUCCCACAUUCGAAAAUGAGGAAACCGAGUAAUUUGCUUGCGGGUAAGCCGAAUGUGCACUUAGCUGGGUUGAGCUUGAUUCCAGAAGUGUGCAGAUUCGCGAAGGUCUCGACGAGGUCAGUCAAGAGGUCAGAACCUUUCUUGGACUUGACCACGAUGUCAUCCAUGUAAGCCUCCAUGUUCCCGCAGAUCUGUUUCCGCAGGCACUUCUGAAUCAUAUGCUGAAACGUGGCCCCAACUUUUUUCAACCCAAAUGUCAUAGUGAUAUAGCAAAAACACCCGAAUGGGGUGAUGAAUGCAGUUUUUUAUUUCAUCUAGACCAUGCACUCGGAUUUGGUGGUACCCGGAGUACGCAUCCAGAAACGACAAUCGCUCACACCCGGCAGUAGAAUCUACUAUCUGAUCUAUGAGAGGGAGAGGGAAAUGAUCUUUUGGGCAGGCCCAAUUGAUGUGCUUAAAAUUGAUACACAUUCGAAGAGAUUUUUUUCGGCAUCCUGACGAGGUUGGCGAGCCACUCGAAGUGGUACACCUCUCAGAUGAAUUUGGUGGCCAAGAGCCACGCUAUCUCCUCGCCAAUUGCCUUGCGCUUCUCGGUGGAAGAUCGUCGAAGGUGCUCUUUGACAGGCUUCGUAGUCAAGUCGACCCGAAGUCUGUGCUCGGCCAGUUCCCUGGGAACACCCGGCAUGUCAGAAGGCUUCCAUGCCAAGAUGUACCAGUUCUCACGAAGGAACUGGAUGAGCUCGACUUCCAAUUUGCUGUCAUGGGUGGUGGAGAUGUUGGUCAGGCCAGUGCUCGGGUCCCCAGGAUGGAUGUGCAGUGGCUUUGUCUCUCUUGCCGGCUGGAAAGUGGAUUCCAUAGUGGGCUUCUUGGACUUCAGCAACUCGCUUGAAUCCGUCGCCUACUUGUAUUCAUCUAAGUCAGACAUUGCCAUCUAUUCAUCAGCAAUCUGAGAGCCCUUGUGGACACACUCUUCGGCUAGCUUCCGAUUGCCCAUGAUGGUGAUCACUCCUUUCUGUCCCGGCAUCUUAAGCUUAAGAUACACGUAACAUGGACGAGCCAUGAAAUGAGCGUAGGCGGGCCUACCCAGGAUGGCGUGGUAAGCGCUUCAGAAGUCUACUACAUCGAAAGUCAUAUAUUCCUUUCGGAAGUACUUUUCUUCGCCGAAUACGACAUCGAGGGCGAUCUGCCCGAGUGAUUUGGCCUUCUUCCCAGGGAUUCCCCCGUGGAACUGCAUGUUGCUUUUGCUGAGCUGGGUCAUCGGAAUGCACAUUGCCUCUAGUGUGUCGGCGAAAAUAAUGUUAAGUCCGAUGCCGCCGUCCAUUAGGACUUUGCACAAUCAGACUCCACCCACAAUCGGAUCAACCACCAAGGCCUGCCGACCGGGGGUCGGUAUGUGGGCUGAGUGAUCCGACUGAUUGAAGGUCACCGGCGUCUUAGCCCGGUCGAGGUACUUGGUGACAGUCAGAACUGCCAUGUUGACUUCUUGGUUAAUGACUUUAAGGCGACCCUUGCUCUUGAUAUUGGCGCAUAUCACCAAGACGUUCUCAAUGUUGGGGUACCCGGAAGUACCCUUGCCUUUGUCAUCGUCAUAUUCAUCCUUGUCUCUAGAGGAAUCUUGCCGCAUCUCUUGCUUCAGGAGUCGGCACUCCCAAGAGGUGUGCUUGGGCAAAAUCAAAUUACCCUCCUUGUCUUUCUUCGUAUGGAUCUGGCAGGGUUGGUCGAGGAUGUCGCUCUUCUGGGUGACUUGCUUUUUCCCCUUCCAAUUCUUCUUCUGCUUUUGGGAGCCUUUGCUUUUACCCUGGCCGGCCAGAGCCGCAGCCUCGGCGCUCCCUCCAGCCUCAGACUUCCGCUUGUGCUUCUUGCCCUUGUUGUCCGACUGAUGAGUACCACCUGUUCAGCUUUGCCGCUUCUCAGUCGGUCUUCCUCUUCACCAUUGGCAAACCGGUUGGCUAUUUCCAUAGCCCGACUGAGAGUCAGGGUCUCAGUUCGGCCAAACUUCAUCUUCAGCUCCCGGUAUCUAACUCCAGCCUUGAAGGCGCAGAUCACCUGGUGCUCGGUGACGUUCUCCACCAUAUUAUGCAAGGUGGUCCACCGCUGAAUGAACUCACGAAGAGUCUCAUUUUGCUUCUGUACACAGUGCUGCAGCUCGGCUAGACCACAUGGCCUCUUGUAUGCGCCUUACAAAGUCUUGACAAAUACUCUUGUCAAGUUAUCCCAACAGAAUAUGCUACUUGGCGAGAGAUGCGUGAGCCAGGCCCGAGCGGAGCCUUCCAGCAUUAGUGGCAAAUGCUUCAUGGCCACAUUAUCGUUGCCGCCGCCAAUCUGAACCGCCACUCGGUAAUCUUCCAACCAAAUCUCGGGCUUGGAUUCACCAGUGAAUUUGCUGAUCCCCGUGGCAAACCUGAAGUUGUUGGGAAUCUCUGCUGCCCUUAUGUAACAACUGAAGCAUUCGGGACCCGAUGGUACGGAACCACUCGGUACGUCGUGAUCUUGGCCCUCCCGCAGGGCCCGGCCUCUGUCGACCAAGCUUUGAGCGAUAAUUGAUCUCGCAUUGAACUGCGGGUCUCAAGUGUCCCUCAUGGGACGAGCGGGACUCGGCCUGCAAUUUGCCGUCAUGUGUCCACCUGUUGUCGUAGGGCUGGCGCUCGUACGCGCCAUCUCGUGGAAGAGGCAUCAGGGUGUGGUCGUAAUCGUCGUGACGUCGGGGCGACGCAACUCGAUCGUGCCGCCGAUCUUAGUGAUGAUCUCUUGAGGAGGAAGUGGCUCGGCGUCCACCGGAGCCGAGUGGGCUCUGAGCCGACUGAACGAUCUCCACGCGCAGUGACGUGAUGUGGAUCCAAUAUCUGGACUGGGUCAACGCUGCAUUCUGCGAUAAUGCCGUCUUGAGGAGCGCCUGGAUCUGCCGAAUCCCUUCUCCGGCCGCAGAGCCGGAGGGUCGGAUGGAAUCCGCGAUCCGAGUGGCAGCCGCCGGGUUUUGUAAUGGAGUAGUAAGGACUUGAUACUUACGAGGCUGGUCACUCGAGUAGAGUCGACGCUUGUGCCGACCGGAGCUAGGUUGACGACGCUCACGUUCAUCCAGCUUCCUUUGUAGCCGUUCAAGGUGAUCGAGCUCGGCCAUGGUGGCCAGGCGAGUCGACUCCAUGGCCAGUGCUUCGGGAGUAGUCCUGGUGAUGACGGUGUUCAGGAGCUGUUCGUUCCUGAGACGGAGCUCGUCCCGCUGCUCCCGGGUGAGAGCUUGGGGCACGUAUGGCUCAUGGCCCUCGACACCGCCGUCUGCGUCGUCGCGUGAUGCUCCUGCGCAAGCGUCCGUGUAUCCCGGGGGCGCGCAAUGCUCAGAGUUGUCCGCCAUGAGAACCUCAGCGGUCANNNNNNNNNNNNNNNNNNNNNNNNNNNNNNNNNNNNNNNNNNNNNNNNNNNNNNNNNNNNNNNNNNNNNNNNNNNNNNNNNNNNNNNNNNNNNNNNNNNNNNNNNNNNNNNNNNNNNNNNNNNNNNNNNNNNNNNNNNNNNNNNNNNNNNNNNNNNNNNNNNNNNNNNNNNNNNNNNNNNNNNNNNNNNNNNNNNNNNNNNNNNNNNNNNNNNNNNNNNNNNNNNNNNNNNNNNNNNNNNNNNNNNNNNNNNNNNNNNNNNNNNNNNNNNNAAGGAGUCGCCGAGUGAUCCCUCAAAGAGGUUGAGGGCGGGCUCGUUGAACUUGAAAGCCACCACAUGUUCCACCGCGGCAUGGGUGGCCACAGUAUGCCUGAUCUAGCGCUGCAGCCGUGAACGCCCGAAACGCUUGUGACGGCGCGCAAUGCUGGGGUGGGCAGCAACUCGGUACGGAGCCGAGGGCUGCCGGAGAAGGACUCCAUAUGAGGAUGCACGGAAAUGCGUCGCGCCUCGGACGGGUGACGCCUCCACGUCCAACGAGGCCUCGCGAAGCCACGUUGAGCCGUCGGCGAUGAAGGACAGUGCCCGAAACGGAUUACGCCGCUGAAUGAUGUGAUGAUGAAGAAAUCCACCUACGCCGUGAAAUUUUGCUAGACGCCCGGUCCCAUGAUGGGCGCCAACUGUCGGGUUUAUGAUCCUGACAAUGAGUAAUAUGGGUACAAAUAAGGGGGCAGAACCUAGCUACGGCGCCGGCGUAACACUCGGUAACGAGUUCAGGUCCCUCUCGGUGGAGGUAAAAGCCCUACGUCUCGUGCCCUAGACUUGCUUUGUUUUGAUGGGGUUACAAAGAUUCCCCCGCGGCUAUGGAGAGGGGUGCGGCUUAUAUAGUGCGCUGCAGCCCCAUGUCUCCCACGCCUCCGAGGCAGUUAAUGACAUUCAAUGGGUCAGUUACUAGUAUAAUGAGCUUAUACUACAUCUGUUACAGGUAGCGGUAGCAACGACUCUAUUUAGUGGAUGAGUUAGGAUUCCUUGACCGUUGCAGCUCCCACGAUGCCCUCCUGCCUUCUAUGUCCGAGUGGUGAUACAUCAGCCAAAUGACAUGUGGUUGUCCGAGUGCCGCGAGUCGUCCGAGUGAACAUCCUGAUGUAUGCAUCUGAAUGUUGGCAUGGUUCAGGGACUUGCCUAUGAUAGUGAUGGGCCCCAUGUGGGUCCCAAAUGAUGGGUCCUUGACCCUACCUAUAAUAGCUGACCACAUCAUAUAGUAGUAGCAUAGCAUUUAUUAUGAUACGGUAUCUACCUGGCAUGGUUCAGGGACUUGCCUAUGAUAGUGAUGGGCCCCAUGUGGGUCCCAAAUGAUGGGUCCUUGACCCUACCUAUAAUAGGUGACCACAUCAUAUAGUAGUAGCAUAGCAUUUAUUAUGAUACGGUAUCUACCUAUGUUAUUCUAACCCCCUCUCUUUCUUCUUUAAUUGUCUGCCACAUAAGCAUGUUUGCGAGUCUCAAGUGCAUGAUACUGGUUAUAUUAACUCCACUAUGGCCAGCCUAAAAUAACAUAUGCUACUUAUAUUUAACAAACAUCUUACAACUAUGCAAUAAUCAACUAUAAUGAAUCAUAUGUAUUUUCGUUUUCAGUUUUCAUAAUAUUAAUUCCAAAUAAUUAUGUUCAUACAACUAAAUUUCAUUCAAAAACCUAACCAACUAAUAGAAGAAUGUGAAGGGUAUUGUCCAUAUUUAAUAAAAUAAAUUGACAUCAAUUUAUCAUGCUACAAAUUUCAAAUAGAAAGUAUACCUAGACAUUGCGAGGUAUAUUUCAUGAUAAAAAUCGCUUUUGUCCAAGUAGCUACAUGUAUAUAAUUUUUGUUUACAGUACAACUGAUUGAUAGUAAGACUAGCCACAAUGCAUAGUAACAUACACUAGUAACAUACACAAAUCCCUAGACUAUGUUACUACCUUCAUAGUGGGUAGUAACAUAAGUGUGAUAACAUGCAAAGCUUCAUUUAUUAGGUUAUAGACUCAUAUUGCAUUGGGACAUGUGAUGUUACAGUAACUAGUUAAGUUACUGUAACCAUCUCUCUCCUCAUUAACUCAUUGCCACAUAAGCAAAUUUACUGAGUUAGACUCGAUGUUACUGCUGAAAUUACUCCCACUGUGGCUAGUCUAAGCCACCAGAAGCGAGGCAACAUUGCAUAAUAAUGAAACUUUUUUGGUUUUUUGCUGAGCCCAAGGUGCACCGUAGUCCGUGUUGGUGCGGUUCCGCGUUUUCCCAGGAACAUGCCUCGCAUCUCCCUUUGUUUAAUGCGAAGCCAAUCACUCAGCGUCCCUGCGCAAACUCCCAGCAACAUUCCAAAACGUUGCUCGAUUACUAUGAACUCAUGACCGAGCAAUGCAAAGCUUAACCAAACAAAAUAUAUUCUGCCCAACCAAAUCCAUGUAAGCAUUUACUGAACCUGCCCCUCCUACAUUACCAGCAGCGUACAGCUCAUGUGAGGAAGAUGUCCCUCUGACACUGCGUAUGGACCAAGACAAGACCAUAAUGGACAUAGCCUGAGCAUAUAGGCAUGUACUGUGUCAUGGUACCGGUGGUACAACACCACAAUGAAUGAAUUUUGCAAUGGCCCGUAAAGGUGCGGACUUUGUCAGCCUCUCCCUCCCUCUGCCGCUCUUCUAGCCAUGUGAGUAUAUAAACACCACUAAUCCUUUUUUCUCUAGCAUCUUCUUCUCGCCCUCACACUUGAAUAGUAAUCUCCUCCUCUCAAGAAAAUGCCCCAUCUUCCUCCUACCCCAGCAAUGGAGCUCCUCGGUGCUUCUGCAGCUGCAGCCGGUGCAUCCUGGCCAGCAUUUGGAGACCCGGGAGCGGACGAGUCCAACGGCGACGAGCCUUGCAGAUAGGAGACGGCGGGCGCGCGAGCUAGCGGCUCGCAUUGUGCUCUCACUGCGUCGUCCUCCUCUGCUCUGCUCUGCGAGCAUGCAUGAGGCGGCCGGUGCGAGCGUGCGGUGGGGAAUUGAGGCGUUAUGGUCCGAGAUAUAUGUAUAUCUCUCUUUCUCUCUCUCUCUUUUCUAGGCAUCUUUUAACUAGUUAUUUGUUCCUCCUCCGAGAAUAUCCUCCCUUCCUCUUGUUUCGUCUCUGUUUCUUCUUCCUUCUACUUUGGUUUGUAUCCAGAGGCUGUAAGCGACGCAUUCUUGGCGUGGAGGAGCUUGUUUGUGAUGUUAGGCACCUCAAUGUGCUUGGUGAAUGUCUUGUUGAGCCUGGAAUGCAUCGGUUACACUUUGUAAUGCAUGUAAUGUAAUCUGUCUGCUUUUAGUGGAGUAUGUUUUUGCUCUUGUUCCUGACUGUUUUUCUUGUAACCAGACACCAUCAUUUUUGUGCGCCAUUGUGUGCACUGCAACCAAGGUAUCCGAGACUGAAAAUCACUCUUUUUCUUUUGCGGGCAACUGAAAAUUACUCACGCUGGUAGUAGCCACCAUGUUGCAAUGCAUAUCGUCCGGGCAAUUGAUGUUUCUUGUGUCGCUCCUUAAUUUCCAAACACCAGGUGAACACAUCUUCCAAAUUUAACGCAUUGCCCUUACUAAUAGAAGAAACAAUCUUUCAAAUUAGUAAGUUCAGUACCUGCCAAAUUCCCCAUCCCCACAAGCGCAUGCACAUCCAGAAUGUAGGCUCUGGUCAGGUGUGCACACCGCACGCUUGUGUUUAAUGCUUCUGUGUGCAUAUCAAUCAAUUAGCAUUAGAGACAUUCUCCACUUCUAGGUCAGCACGGCAGGAAUAAAAUAGGGAGGAGGAUGCGGUGGUAGUGGUACCACCAGGGCAUGAGUGAGGGAAUGCCAAACAAACAAGAUGGGAUUGCAUCUAUGGGGAGGGACUACAAUAGAAUCUGGGCUUGUAGUAGAAAAAUAGAAAAAACAGAUCUGGACCACUAGAUGGGAGACUGAUGGCCCAGAUUUAGGUGGAGGGAUCUCAGACCACUUAAUGUACUUUUCACGGAAAACCCCCUGCCAAUGUUUAGAUAUGAGAUAGCAUAUUUGCAGUAUAGACCUUGAGUCUUCGUGAAAUAUGACCAUUUUCAUAAAUGCACAGUGCUGAUGCCCAUCUCAUCUUAGCUUGAUAUACAAAAAUCUUUGCAAAUAUUUACUUCAUGAAAUUCAUACACAUUUAAGUGUCUAUUUUAGCCUCUGAGACAUCAUUAAUUUUUCAAGAGGGUCGGACAUCUUGGUUUCUAAGAAAACAUCAAUAUAUAUCACAUUUUUUUAGCACAUAAGAGAACUAAGCCAUCCCAGAACAAGCAGAACUGCAUAUACAUAUCAAACUAGAAGUAGUGCAUGAGCAAAUUAAGGACUGGAAUUAUCACCACAUCAUUUGAGUAUUUGAGUACAUGAGAAUACAACACAAGAGGUGUACAUAGAACACUUUUAGUACAUGGCCAGCAGACCCAAGUGUAAAUGACUGAAACUAUCACCGUCCAACAAGCAUCUUGAUAGUACAUGACAAAAAAGGUCUAGGAGUAUCAUUUUUCGUCCUGUUUUAGUGCUUCCUGUUAAUCGAGCUUCAUCCGCUGGCAUUCAAGCUUCUAUACGAGAGUUUUUAACCUCCAAGAACUCUUAUACACUUGAUCAGUUCAAACUACCUAGCUAAGAACACCAAAUAAGUAGGUGUCAGUUAGAAACAUACAUGAAAUAGCAUAUCUUGAGAAGAGAGACAUUCAUUAUGUCCAACUUCAUUCACAGCUCCAACCAAGGAUACAAAACCUAGAUGUCAAACUUAAGAUGAAAUUCCGAAUACACAUGUAACCAAUCAGAAUAACCCUUGAGGUCGUUGAUGGCAUUCCAGCUUCUACAUGGGAGUUUUCAAAUCAAAUAAAAAUGGCAUGUAGUAGCGGGAUAAGUCUAAUAGAGAGAGUACAAAUAUUUGUUACAGCAUAUUUCGUUAUUCCACUACAGAUUAGGUUAUGUUGUUAUACCUAUUGACUUAUAAACCAAUAACAUCAAAAUUCGCAAGAGGUCAGUAUAACACGCAUAUGUUCUAACUCAAAAAUAAUUGUAAAAACUGACAAACAUUCAUGUUCAUAACAUUGAAUGGACCUUAGCUGCUUGCACAAAAACCAGCUCAUAGAAGUUUCAUAGUGGUGAAGGUUAGAGAUUAUGACCCAAGGUUACAAUUAUAAAUUUGACUUUACCCAUCUAAAAAGGACAAUUAUUGGGCAUGGAUACAAACAUACCGGGCAUGGAAAAAGGUAAAUCUGGAUCACCUUGAGAAAAUAGGAAUGCAGGCUACAGAUUCACACUGGGUUAAAGCUUGCACGGGCAUGCAUAGACCUACGAUCAAUAUAUAUAUUACAAUUUUCUAGUAGAAUCGGUUUACUUCCUUUCCAGCUUGUCAAGCUACUGACUCUGUAUAUGGAACUGCAGGUACCGAGUUUUUUAGUGAAUUGCCGUGAACUUAUACGUGAACUUCAAGACCCUAAGAUUAUCCAACCGUUCUCAACCUUCCAACUUGGUUCUGCAGAGUACUUAACAGUGAAACAAAAUUUCCAAAUUAGAGUACGACACCACCAAGAACAGGAGCAAAUGCAUCACGCACACACAAGCAGAUUUGACAUGAAAGUACAGGAAAAUAGAAGUAUACAGAUAAAUCGGAAAUUUACUUGAUAUAGUAAAACUGGAAUGCAACACAAAUAGGAAACAAAGUUAACAUCUAUUUACUAGGAAAAUGAACAACCGUGUCGAGGAUUUGUAGGUUCGCACCACGUCGCAUGGGGCGGUUGGGAAGGAGCCGAGGAGCUCACCACCGGCUUGCCGCUGACGAGGAGGAGGACACGAGCUGAUCCUGGUGCGUGAGAGAGAGACGAGGCGACGGACCGACCGCUACCGGAGAUUCAGAUGAGAGGUUGCGAGCCUGCGACGAGCACACUGCGGGCUGAGCUUAGUAGCGGAGAAGAUCUGAUUUGAUCUGCCUCAAACAGCGCCGCCGACGACGUGAUGGCCAGGAGCCAUCGGAGAUUUUCUGAAUUCGCCCAGCUUGAGGAUGGAUCUGGGCUGCCGCCGCGGCCAGCGUUGGGGCUGCCGCUCUGUACGCGAUUUGGGAUUGAACGACGAG
rnacentral:lncRNA from 1 species